rnacentral:lncRNA from 1 species
UUGAUGCAACUGUACUCUUUCUGGUAGGUCUGAGAUGGACUGAGCAUCCUAAGCUAGCUACUUGUCUCCCUUAGGUUUUACAGCAAGACAAAUGCACUGGACUACAAAGAGGAAAAUUCUUGCAGGUUCGUAAUGAAUCUGUUUUGGUUCUGGCAUUCACACCAAUCAUAAAGCAGUGUUUGUUAGUAGCGGAGUGGUAGGCAGACGCAAAUCAAACCAUCAUUUUUCUUCUAAAUACACUUGUAAAAGCAUCGAUGCAUCUCCGUCGCUUAAUUUUAUUUGUCAUUCUGUUCAGUACCUGGUUUGGUUUAGGAAGAGCUCUUUUUCCUAUGCAAAAUGUAUAACGUGUAUGUUUCUAAUUCCGAUUGCAGGCAUAUUCAUCGCGCUUGUGUUUUGACGUGUUGCGGGCAACCAAGAGUCGUUCAACAGUGUGUUGCUGGGGUACGCCACCGGUCUGACAGUAAAAGGUAGCGCUGAUGAACUGGUUUCAAGCCGAGCUGAUCAGUUCUGCUGUUACUAAUAUAUCAUGGCAUCUUGCGGCUCUCGGUCGAUGUUCUGUCAUCUAUGAGGAGAGAGUUUCCAUUUAAUCUAGUUGCUAAUGCUUUGUAUACAAAAUUAUAGAUGCCUACACAAUACAAAAUCAAAAGUUAUUUUCUUAGUCAAACUGGAAAAUUCAUAGAUUUGCAGGAACAUCUGUACAUAAAGCCUUUUCCAUCAAAGUAUGUACAUACAUUGUCUAUUUUAACAUAAGAAUGUAGGACUCGUUCAAAACUAUUUGACUAUUCAUACAAAAAAAAUAGAAUUUCUUAAAAUAAGGGAGCACAUCUUCUCUGGUUUGAUCACUGAAGUCAUCAAUUGAGCAGUCCAGGUUCACCUAGUUAUCUAUUUCAAAACUUAGGGAGAACAAUUUGGGUGAUACUUUUUCAAAGUACAAGGCACAUAUUUAUAGUUCAUUGAAAUGCACCUAUAUUUUGACCUCAUUAAUAUCUCAUCCUUCAUAAUAAAGUAUGGCCAAACAAACAGAGAAACCGCUAGUUUCUUUCAUGUUCCCCAGACAAUAACACCAUAGCUAUUACUGUCAUUCCCCUUCUCUCUUAAUACCUUCCAUCCUUUCCAUUAUAAUUAAUGAAACUGAAACAUAUCAUUCUCUUGGUUGUAUUUUUUUCCUAAAAUGUUUAAGGUGUAUGUGUCAUUGAGUGAAUAUAUUAUGUUGCAAAGUUUCACGAAAUUUAGUAUGCAACCAGUAUGCAAGAGAAAUAAAGAUUAAAGUAAAUUUAGUUAUUUUUAUUAGCCAUUAUUGUUUUUAGAGAAAACAAUAGGCAAGUCACUUUUUCAUGAAAGCUGGAGACAAAUAGUGUAUUCUAACAUAAAAAUGGUCAAUUUUCCUCACACACACACACACACACAUACACAUAAACUUAGAAUUUUUGGAAAUAAUGGGAGCAAUGGCCAUGUGAAAAUAUGAGGUUUAUAUCUUGUGGAUUUCCUUUCAGUGUACAAGGCCUGCAUGUAGAAUGGAUAUUUUUUUUUCUAUAUUUGCUUCCCUAAUUUAAAUCUUAUCCUUCAUCAUCAAUUAUGACUAAACAUAAAUAGUAACUGCUAGUUUCUCUUAUGCUUAUGAGGAGAUAAGACCAUGGAUAUUUUAGUCAUUCCACUUUGCUAUUGAUUGUUUCUGUUCUUUUGCGCUAAAUAGUAGUCAAACAUGUUAUUCAUGUAUUUCGUAAGGAUAAGGUCAAGCCUCAUGAUAAGGAUAGGGUCGCGCUAUUCGUCACCCUGGGUGAGGCAUUGUUAUUUUUCACCCACUUCUAUUUUAUCAUCAAUGCACCGUAAAUUUACGUUUCAUAAGUUUUGUCUUAUUUCCGACGCAAAAAGGGACCGUAAGAAAAUAUAUAAUCGCCAUAAAAAAUAUUUUAUGUUAUAUAAAAUUACAAACAUAAAAACAUAGUCUAAAAUACACACAAACUGCAAAUUUUCUUGUCUUAUAACCUAUAUUUUUAUUUUUUUAUGUCAAAUUUUACGUAGUGAAUCAAUAGAAAUAUAACUAUUUGAAUUCGAAAUGUAAUUUAAUUAUGAAAUGAUCGUAAGAUUACCUCGGGUGAAGAAUAACUUAUUCUGCACCCUGAUUGAUGAAUAAUAAAUUUAAUUAUAUUAUAUACAUAUAGGAUAACACUAUUCUAAUCCUAGAAUUAGAAUAGCUAUUUGGAUCACAGCCAGCCCGACCACAUCUUAGUGAGAUCGCGCGAGCAAAAGAAAAAACCCAAAACGCCCCGCCCCGUUUAUCCCCUUGUCGCUCCACCACCACCCCCCGACCUCUGGCCGCCGCCCACCCUGCUCCGGCGCGCCUCCCACCCUCGCCUCCUUCCGAGCGCUCCGCCGGCCCCGCCUUCUUCCAGGCGCGCCGCCGGCCCCGCCUCCUCCUGGCGUGCUGCCACCCCCACCUCUUGCAGCGCGAGGUCGCCGCCACCGCCUACUUCCCGGCGUGCCGCCAGCCCCGCCCCCUUCGGCGCGAGGCCGCCGCCCCCACCUCCUCCUGGCGCGCCGUCGUCCCCUGUACCUGACGCGCCCCCCGGUGCCGCCGGCCCGCAACCCGCCGCCCAGCACCUUCCCGUCGCGCGCCUCCCAACACCGAGGCGCCGCCGCCCACAGGUUCUGUAGAUGCUGACCUGCCACUGCACCGCCGCUGCAACCUGCUGCUCACUCUUCCUCGCACAUGUGUCAGCAACACAAAAGUGGGUCGCUGCAGUCCACCUCCUGCUACAGCAGCAGGACGACUCCUUCAGGACGCAUCUCACACUCAUGGAGGCGGUGCUAUCUCUGGCGAGCUCCUCCAUCCCCGAGCGCGAUGCUUCCACUACUGCGUCCUCCUCACGUUCCCUUCCCCAUCCUUGUGUAUGCUUAUUUCGAUGUGGAAAACUCCAUCAACUAGUUCGCAUCACGUAUCAGGGCACGGCCAUAACAUGCUAGCAAUAUUAUGCUUUGGCUGCUAGUAAUGUGUUUGUGCUAAUGUCUAGUAGGAACUCUAGUUGUACUGAUAAAAGAGAACCAAACCAUCAUAUAAGGGAAAAGUCGCAUCUCUCUAUCUUUGAUCUCUCUAUGAUACAGAUAUGGACGUAUAUGGAAUUAGUAAAAUUCCUCUUUUAUAUUGCUUGUUCAUUAAUCAUUCAUGCAUCGUGUCCUAAAAGAAAUAUAGUGUGCUCUGUUUGAAAAAGCAUGUGGUCAGCACAUGUUUGUUAUUAUAUGGAUCUAAAGGUUUAACAAACAAACACAUUCAGAUUUCUCUUUAUUCGUAUAAAGGUUGGAGUGAGGUAGCGCUUAUUUCCUAUAUAGCUGCUCAUUUUGGAUGCAGUUUGAACAAUCAGGCUAGGGAGCGGUGAGCGUGGGUAGGCUGGCCAAACCUUCCCUCCACUGGGUCAACCGGCAGCGUCGCCCACCACCGUACUGUCCUACGGCAACGGCCCCAACCUGGGCAGGCGUGCUUUCUGCGACAUGCUCCUGCUCAUGGAUGUCUUGGUGAGGUAAAAACUUCUGUUAACUUAACUUAGCUACCUCAACUGAUUGAACUGCAGGGGUUGUGUGCAGUCUGAUGUGGUUCUAGUGUUUGAUUAAUGCAAUUUGGAAGAACUUGCGUCUCUAAAAUUCAAACUCUGCAUUUUGGUGUAUUUUUAUUUAGAAGUUCAGGUCAUCAUAAGUUGCUUCGGUUUAGCUAGUUACUGUUGUGAAAAAGUUCAGCUCGUCAUAUUUGAACAUCGGAAGAAGAGCUGCUAUAGUCUCCUGCUAUAUGCUUGUUAUAUUCCUAAAUAGUACAGGCUCAACCAAAGCAAGUAGUUAUAGUCUCCUGCUAUAUGCUUAAAUAGUACAUUUUUUCUGUAUUCUUGUUCGGAAGUUCAGGUCAUUCAAAGAGACCAAAUAGUACAGGCUCAACCAAAUAGUGAAAAGUCUACUAGAGUCGAAAAAAUAUAAUGAUACAAAAAUGCAACUCUGCACUUUCCUCAAAAUGGUCAUCAUAUUCUUAAGAAGAUUGGGAUUGCACUAUUUGUUUGAGCUAGUACUACCAGACUGAACAAAUUGCAGAGUUGGAUUUUAGAGCCUGGACAUUUUCAGACAUUUUCAAAAGUGGUCAAUUGAACCUGAACCAAAAAGAUUGACCUGAAAUUCGUUUGGGCUAGUUACUACCAGACUGAAAAAAUUGUAAUAGGUGGAUAAGUGGUAUUGUACUAUUUUCUAUUGUGUGGUAAUGCUCGUACCCCAUGGCCAUGGAAGGUUCAGAUGUUGUGCUCUUCUUUUCUAGCUGAUUCAUGUUCUAUUUGGUAGCUUUAAUGAUAUUCUAUACACUGAUGGCGAGAGUUCAACCAUGGCUAUACGCCAAGUUCUACUAUGGCUAUAUGUCGGCCAUCGUGAAGUCCUACUAUAGCUAUAUGCCAAGUUUAAUUAUGGCUGUAUGCUUGUGCUUCCAGGCUACUAUUGAACGUGUCUUGGCCUUCAUUUUUACGGGUUAUAGUCUCCUGCUAUAUGCUUGCUUUUGCUAUCAGCAUGUUCAUGCAAGUGCCUCUGAAUAAUCUGAAAUUUAAACUUGUACCUAAAACUGAACUUCUACCUCUUUGCUACAGGUGCGGUCGUCGGAGUCCUUUAAGUGCUUGCACUAGUGCUUCUAACUUGUCCAUGAAGGCACUGCAUGGUGUGCCACCUCCCGUCUGCCGCCGCAGCUGCCAUGUGUCCUUGCGACCUCUGCGGCCAGUCACCAACGCCCUAUGAGUGCGCCCUAAGUGUGGCAUGGGGAACAUGCUAAUGUGUGUGUUUCUGCACUGGUGUGUGCGUGCAUGCUCACGUUUAUGCGUGACUGAGUGUGCUGCUUGUGUGCUGUGAUGUAUGUUGUAUAGAUUUUUAUGAAGUUCAUGUUGUGAACCCAACUUAAUUAGAACACAAAAGUUUAGAUCGCAGCUGCUUUGAAUUAUGUAGUGUUUCUAAAUAGCUUCUUGUCUGAAGUUCAGUCGUACAUGUGGGUGCAAGAAAGUUAGUGUCGGAGCCAGAAAAACUGACUUUGAGCAACUGUUGGGUAUUUAUAUAAAAACAUUGUGUGUAGCAAUUCGUUGUGUUUAUUGAAAAAUGAAAAGACAGAAGUUCACCAUGCAAAACUUUCACAGUCCAAUUGGUAUUAAGAAGGCAGAAAUAUAAAACAACAGUGAAGUUCACUAAAAAUGCAACUUUUCACAUUGCGAAGAAACAAUAAUUAACUUCUCAGUGUACAAUUUAGUUUUUGUUUCUCUUUUCCAAAAAAUAAGAAUAGAAGUAAUAUGUGGAAGCUAUUUGUGUUUAUGUCUCAAAUUAGAAUAAUUAUAAGAAUUGCCUCUAUAUGUGCUAUGUGUUACACACCUUUCCGAAUCAAAAGAGAUUAGAUUCAUCCAUGAGUAAGGUAGGUACAAUUAUUUUUAAACAGUUCAAUUGCUCGAUAGAUGUAUGUCCAGAAAAAUAAAAGAUAGUUCAACACAAUAUAAACCCAUGAGAUUGCAAAAAAUCUUUGGAUUAAGUGGAUGAGAACCAAUAAGUUCAUAUAUGAAACCUUGGGGAGUUCAAAAAAAGUUAAAAAGGUUCGAUGUUUGUUGCGAAGCUAGGAUUUUCUUCAUUACUAAUGAAUAAAUCAAGAAGUUCAAAUUAAAAAAGGAUGAGCGGUUCGAUGUUUAUUACGAACCUAGAAUUUUUUCCGUUACUAAAAGAAAUAAUACCAACAAGUUCAAAUUAAAAAAAUCGAGUAGUUUGAUAUUUCUUUGAAAACUCAAAUUUUUCCGGUUAGUAAAUAAUAAAACCAAUAAGUUCAAUUCAAAAUAACGAAGAAGUUCAACUUUUAAAAGCAAAGCAAUUUGAUAUUCAUUUAAAAACUCAAUUUUUUCGGUUACUAAAGAAUAAGACCAACAAGUUCAAUUCAAAGUAACGAAGAAGUUCGAUGUUUCUAACAAAACUCCAAUUUUCACAUUUCUAAAAACUCCAAUUUUAGGUGAGCCCAAUUUUUGUGUGGAUGUGUUGUGCAUGUGCUUGUGCGUAGUACAUUUAAUAGAACAAAAACACUAUUAUGGGUGCCCUCUAAAUGUUUGUCCUAUUGCUUAUGAGAAUUGACCCGAAUUUUCCUAUUGUUUUUGCACAUGUUGGAUUCAAGGGAAAAUGUGUAUAAAACAGGUGUGAUUUCAGAAGUUCAGGUGUAACGAACAUCGAAGUCCAAACCAAAAGAAUGUAAACAAAAAAAUCAUGGAAUUCAAAAGAAUAAAUACUAUCGAGUUUCAUGAAAGAAAAUAGCAUGCGAAGUUCAUGUUUCAGAAAGUUUGAAGUUCACGUGUACCACAUACAGAAGAAAAAUGAUCAAAUGAAAAAAGGGACCGCCUAGGCCAUUUCACCGAAAAGCAAAAAAUGCAUAAAAUGUCACGACAAAAUUCUAUAAGAAGUUCCAAUUUAAAAGCCGAAGUAGGUCAACGUUAAAGAAAAUGAAGUUUUUAAUAUCUAAAAGAAAAUUUUGGAAGCUCAACAAAUUUGUGCAAGGAGUUAAAAAAAUUAGUUGAAAAAUAUUUAUAACGGAUUUUCCCCGUGUAUAAAAAAAUCAGAGAAGUUCAAAUUAAAAAGAGGAGCAUUUCAAAAGAUUGUAUAAAAACUGAUUUACUCAAAAUAGAUAAAGGUGAAGUUCAAAUUGAAAUAACGGAGAUGUUCGGAGUUUAUUAAAACCUAGAAUUUACCUGUUCGAAAAAUAAAAAACACAACACCAUUUUUUUGCACUUUUAGAGACAACUCAUAAACGAAAAAAUGGUUGCUGGAAGUUCAAGUGCUCGGUGAGGAAAAGUUCAAAAAAUUCUUGUAAGAGAGGUUCACCGUGUAUUUAGAUGUCCAAAAUACAUAAAAAAUAUGUUGUUUUUUGUGUUUUAAAAUAAUUCUCUCAAACCAGAGAGAAGUUCAAAGUGAUAAUAGCCGGAAGUUCACGUACUACAUGGUGUGUAUUUCAUAUAAGAAAAAUAGAAUAAAGUGAAACAGAGUAAAGUUCAAACGGACAUGCCCUAGAAGUUCAACUACUUCACGUAGUGCAAAAAAAUAUCACAUCAAAAAUAGAGUGAGGACAGACAUGCCUGAGAAGUUCAACUACUUCACACAGUGUGUUUCCAUUCGCAAUGAAGGCAGAAAUCAUGAUCUCGUCAUUUCUCUAAUUUACUUCAAAACGAUAGGAAUAUCAUUUGUGUAAGUUCAAGUCCUCGGUCGGAGAAAGUUAAAAAAAUAUUGUGAGAGAGGUUUGUACAAAAAGAAUAUCAUUUGUGUAACACUGACGAAAUGGAUGAGAAAAUUACAAACAAAAAACGUCACAGAAGUUCAACGUGAAAACAACAGGAAGUUCGACUACUAUAGUGAAUGAAUUUGAGAUGAAAAACUUUUAAAAUCAUCGCGAGUAUGAAAAAACGAUCAACACGGGAAAGUUAUGUGCUUACAGCAGCUUUCCACCGGUAUAUCACUUUCUCAAUUCCGGUGAGUGGAUGGAGAGUUACGAGCAGUGGAUGGAGACCUACGAGCAAAAAAAUCACGUGAAAAACAGAGUGAAGUUCAGGUACACGCGCCGAGAAGUUCAGGUUCUUCACGCGGUGCAUUUUCGAAGAAUCUGUUUGACGAUAAAGGCAGAACGCAUGAUCUCGCCAUUUUCGAAAUUACUUGAAAAUGGCUAGGAAUCAGAGAAAACCAUCAACAUGAAAAAGUUUUGCAAUUUCCGUAGCUUUUCAGCGGUAUAUUAUUUGCCCCAUUCCGAUAAAGUUUGUAGAAAUUACGGCGAAAAUACGUUUUUCGCCAUUUUCGAAACUGACUUAAAACUGUAAAGAAUUGGGAGAAACAAUACAUACCAAAAAGUUUCACAUUUGUUCAAGAUUUCCAAAGCCAUAACAUUUGCUGCAUUCGGACAGACGGUUAAAAAAUUAGAUCAAAAAUACGAACUCGGUAGGACUAGGACCAUUUUCUAAAUUACUCUUAAACCAUUCAAAAUUAGAAAAAAACUUUCAAGAUGAAAAAGUAGCGCAUUUUCAUAAGCUUUACAAUGCCGUAUCAUAUGCCUCUAUUGGAUUAGCCGUUUAGAAAUGACAUCGAAAAUACGAACUCAGCUGUUCGAUUUACGAAAUUUUACGUUUUUUCAAAUUACUCUUUAACUAUAGGGAAUUAAAGAAAACUUUCAACAUGUGGAAGGAGCGGUUUUGCAGCAGCUUUCCAACGCCAUAUUAUAUGCCUCAUUAAGAUAAACGGUUUAGAAAUGCGGUCGAAAAUACGAUUCACGUUUUUUGUGCGAAGAAAAAACGGUUUUCAAAACUGCUCUUAAACCGCUUAUAUUUUGCCAAAAAUUUAAGUUGGAUAAUGAUACUGAUGUUCAAAACUUUCCAACGGUAUAUAGCAAGCCUCAUUUGGGCAAUGUUGGCGGAAGUUCAACCUAGUUCAUAGGGAAGUUCAGCGUACUACUAGCGGGGCAGGUCAGGUUGUGAUCAGAAUAUUAUUCUGAUCCCGUGAUUAGAAUAGUGUUUAUAUAUAUAUAUAUAUAUAUAUAUAUAUAUAUAUAUUAUAUUUGCCACAUUAACUUUAAGAGUUCAAUAUUAAUAUUUUCAUACAUAUCAAGUGAUAUUGGCGACCUUUUUUACCAUCAAAUCCUCGCGCACACACGCUAGUGCAUAACAAUAUGAAUUAUAUGUAUUAUAUUUGCCACCACAGCUGUGGGUAUUAAUUUCAUGUAAAUCGGUCAAUCACAGCUCCCAGAAUAUGCGAAGGAGGUGGCCUGAAUCGGCGUCGACGCCGUCCAGUGCGGGCCACGGGCCCGCUUCACUAGUAGAAAAAGGGCCUAUUGUCCCGGUUCGUAAGGGCCUUUUGUCCCGGUUCCUGAACCGGGACUAAAGGAUCGGUACUAAUUCCCUGUCCCUUUAGUCCUAGUUCAAUCCAGAACCGGGACAAAUGGGCCUCCACGUGGCCUGUGCGCGGAGCCCAGGCAGGAGGGCCUUUGGUCCUGGUUGGUGGCACCAACCGGGACCAAUAGGCAUCCACGCAUCAGCAUUUCUGUGGCUGGGGUUUNNNNNNNNNNNNNNNNNNNNNNNNNNNNNNNNNNNNNNNNNNNNNNNNNNNNNNNNNNNNNNNNNNNNNNNNNNNNNNNNNNNNNNNNNNNNNNNNNNNNNNNNNNNNNNNNNNNNNNNNNNNNNNNNNNNNNNNNNNNNNNNNNNNNNNNNNNNNNNNNNNNNNNNNNNNNNNNNNNNNNNNNNNNNNNNNNNNNNNNNNNNNNNNNNNNNNNNNNNNNNNNNNNNNNNNNNNNNNNNNNNNNNNNNNNNNNNNNNNNNNNNNNNNNUAGGUGUUUCAUAUAUUGUGUUAGCUAGCUAUAAUUAAUAGAGAGAAGUGUCCUCUCUUAUGUCCAUGCUUGGUCGGCGCUACGUACUAUACAUACGUAUAGAGAGGACUAGACAGGCUAGCUAGCUAGUUAGAAAACGAAGGAAACAGAAGAUCGUCAUGAACAUAUAUGCAUAGAGAGAGAAGUGAUAUCGACCACCUCUCCUUCUCCGAGAGAUUGGUCGAACAACAAGUUCUCGUAUAUCUAUCCGACACUACCGGCUACAUAUAUACAAUAAUUAUCUCUUACAAAUAUAAUCUCCUAACAUACGGACUCAUGGUCCACAUAGUAUUCUCCGUCUUCAGCGAUCACGUGGUCAAGAAAGAAUGCCGACAAUUCCUUUUGAAUUGCUCGCAUGCGAGCUGGUGCUAGGAGUUCAUCUCGCUUCCGAAACAUCUAAUUUGAAGAAGGGGCCGGGGUCAAUACAUAUAUAUAUGAAUGAAUGAAACUAAACACAAAUGAUGGUAAUAAAAUAAAAUUGUGAAUGUUGUUAUUUGCGCACUUCAUAUUGUUCAUCAGAGUAGCCCCGCUCACAGGCCGUGUGGUAGAUGGACUCGCAAACGUAGUAUCCACAGAAAUCAUUCCCUUGUAACUGCCACAACCCCUUUACAAGAAAUAGAGGUCAAUCAAACUGAUAAGCAAGAAUGCCAAAUGGUAUUGAUGAAACUAGCGCUUGAAUCAAUAGGAGAUGCGCGGAACAUGCUACUAUAGUACUUACUUUGGGGUGUCUAAAUUGCAGCUUCUCCGGGAGUCCCGGAGCUUUUUUGGUGAAUUUUUUCCAAACCCUGCCAGACAAAGAAAACAGUUACUUGAUAUAUCAGGAAAUGAACAAAGUUGCUGAUAUGGUGGAUAAUGAUCGAUUUAACUUACUUCUCGAGCAUUUGAGUCAUGUCCGCAUAGUCCUGGGGAUCUUUUCGUCUUGAGUCUAAGACGGUUACUAGUCCCUGCUCAAGCUUAAUCUCUAGGAGAAUAUAGUGGAAACUGCACACGCAUGCAUAACUCAUCAAUUACAUUACUAUAACCUUGACUAAUAUAUAAGGGAAACCGAAUAUGCACAAGACAGUAACACUCACUUGAAGUUGUAAGGAAAAAGUAUUAUAUCUUUGUUUUCAUUUAUUACCAACGAUCGUAGCAAGUUGGCCUCGGUAUCCGCGACAUGAAAUUUAACCUCAGUUGCAUCUAUGAUAUUUGUGUUAAUGAACCCAAUAUCACCGAUUUGUCUUUUCUUCAAUUCGACGAUCUUCAAUCUGCAUAAUAUAGUGAGGAUAAUUAUAAAUACAUGCAAUGAAAGAGCUGAGCUAUAUAGAGAGACUUAAUGACAGAAGUAGUACUACUUACAGACAGUAGCAGGUGACCGUUGCUUUAUCGAGGGCCAAUUGAUUGAAAAACUGAAAGAACUCCUCAAAUGGAACAGGUAACAAACACUAGUAGAAAAAGGGUCAAACGUGAAGCACAUUAGUGCCGGUUUGUAAAAAGACCGGCACUAAUGUGAUCAAUAGUGCCGGUUCGAAUGGCUAUGCAUUAGUGCCGGUUCGUAAUGAACCUUUAGUACCGGUUCAUGCCACGAACCGGUACUAAAGGGGUGGUGGCAGGCUGGCGUCAGGCCAGGCCCCACGAGCCCCUUUAGUGACGGUUUGUGACACAAACCGGUACUAAAGGUCUAACCUAUAGUACCGGUUUGUGUCACCAACCGGCACUACAAAGUCUUAACCUAUAGUCCCGGUUGAAGACACAAACCGACACUAUAGGGCAAUUUUCAAACUCUACCCCCCCCCCCGUGUAUCGCCAUUUCAGUUUUGAAAAAAUCAAAAGAAAAUGAUAAAAACUUCAAAAAAUAAAAUCCUUCGAGAGGUAGUUAUAUUACUACAUCUACUAGUUAGGAAAAUUUGAAAACUUAAAUUUGGACAUGUUUUGCAAAAAGUGUAGGGAAAAUGUAAAACGGCUAUAACUUUUGCAUAUGAUGUCGGAAAAAACGUAUAAUAUAUCAAAAAAUUCAGCACGAAAAUCCUCAAAUUCCAAAAGGAAAAAAAGAUAUGGUCAAAUUUAAGUUUUUUUUAAAAAAAAUUGGUUAAAUCUGGUCAAACUACUUAUUCAAGAAGUGUUAAUGUUACUACAUAAUUAUUCAAGAAUAUUAGUGUUACUAAAUAAUUAUUUCAAUUUUUUGAAUUUUGGUCAAAUCUGGUCAAACUAUGGUCAAACUGUGGUCAAACUAUGGUCAAACUUAUUCAAGAAAUAUUAGCGUUACUAAAUAAUUACUGUUUUUUUAGAAUAAUAGUUUCAAACUCAAACGGUGAAAUGUGUGACUUCAUGCUCAAGCUAAACUCCUGAGGGUUAAUAGGAUUAACAUCUUACUAUCAUCACGAAAACAACAAGUGCAGACAUGGAAACGAAGGAGAAUAGAACCCGAAAGUUAAGCGUGCUCGGGCUGGAGUAGUGAGAGGGAUGGGUGACCGGUCGAGAAGUUAGAUGAUUUGGAAUGAGUGAUCCACACUUGAGCAGUUAAGAGAGGUGAUUAGAGACUAAAUCAUCAAAUAAUUUAGAAAAAUUAAAAAAAUCAAAUUAAUUUUCAAAAAAAAUAUUCAAAAAAAAAACCAUUAGUACCGGUUGGUAACACCAACCGGUACUAAAGGUCCCCCAUACCAGGGCGUGAACUCACGCCACGUGGUGGCACUUUAGCGCCGGUUCGUGCCGAACCGGUACUAAAGGGGGGGGGGGCUUUAGUGCCGGUUCCAUAACCGGCACUAAAGGCACUUACAAACCGGUUUUAAAGCUCCGUUUUCUACUAGUGAAAUCAAUUCCAACGAGGUCAUGCUCCUUUUUAACUCUCACAUACAAAGUACUCCUCCCCUAGACUCUCUGCAGAUUUUCAAGUACCAAUCAUGCAAUCUUUGCAUCAUCGUUGAUAGAGAUCUUUCAUCUUUGACGAGAGGCUUCCCGUACUCGUAUCUUUGUAUCUGCACCUCCAUGAAAUCAUAAUGUACAUCGUCGGGCAGGUAAUCUCCAAGAUUGCUAUAACCGGGCACCAUCCUCGGAUCAUUAGCGACGAUGUCGCUAGGUACCUUGAGCGGGGGGGGGGGGGCACGAUUGCUUCCCUUGUUCGCCAAGCUGGGAAAUUUGUUUCCCAACUCGUCGUUCUUUCAGCCUUUGAUCACUGACAGUACUUCCCGACCGCUCCGCUUCGGCAAAUUCCUUUCCAAUAAUGCGCUCAUAGUUUCCUUUCGGUGGAGACUUGGGUGGUUUUGUUAGGGCAGCCAGAGUGCGCUUCGCUUUCACCGGAUCUACCUUCUCCUCCAGAGGUGGAUGUUUCUUUGCUUUCACCCCUUCAAAGAAGUUCCUGACUUCUUCUCGCACGAUCUCGGCGUUCUCCUCCGGGGUCCUCUCGUAUGGUAACUUCUCUGGAGUCUUUAGAGAAGGACCGAAUCUGUAUGUCCUCCCGCCUCUGGCUGUACUGCUAGACGCCGGCAGAGCAGACGGAGCGGUUGUCUUCUUUACUUGCUUACGAGGCAGAGGAGAAGGACUACGACGCACCAGAGCAGCCGGAGCGGCCGCAGGUCUCUUCCGCCCUUGCUGACGAGGCGGAGAAGGAGGAGGCUGGCUGCUCGGGCGCGCCGGCGCAGGCGGAGAAGGAGGCGGAGUGCCGCCACGCGCCGGAGAAGGAGCCGGCCGAGUGCCCUGAUAGUCACUCGCCAGAGGAGGAGGCGGUGGAGGGGGCGGAGUGCCCUGACUCGCCGAAGGAGGAGGAGGAGGCGGAGGCAUCCAAUUCGGAAGGUUCAUGACCUCCUUCCGCCAUAGGCAUGGAGUCUUCAGAGCAGAACCCAGCCGAGUCUCCCCUUCACCGGUAGGGUGGUCAAGCUGGAGGUCCUCAAAUCCCUCCGUUAUUUCAUCCACCAUCACCCUAGCAUAUCAUUCUGUAAUCGGCCGGCAGUGAAAAGUUGCGCUGGGUUCAGUAGGAAAAACAGAGCCAAUAGCCGCCUUGACCUUCAUAUUAACCCAUUGCGUCAUAAGGUGGCAAUUAUGAGACUCCGUGAUAGCAUCCACGGGAUAGCUGGCAGGAGCCGUCAAGACAUGCUCCUGCUGAAGCAGCUCGGUGGAAGCCAUGCUGCUUCUCCGCUGAGAUGGCGGGGUAGCUUCGGCAGUUCGUUUUGUGCGAUUUGCUUCUCGUUCCUCUAUUGCUUGUACCCUAGCGUGCAGCGCCUGCAGUUGGGUCUGCUCCACUUUCUUCCUCCUCUCGUGGCAUUUGUAACCGCCUGCGUCCGGAAACCCAGCCUUACACGGAAUGGAGCCUGGCGUGCCUCAUGUCCGUCCAGGGUGUUCAGGAUUCCCGAGGGCCAUUGUGAGCUCGUCGUUCUCUCUGUCUGGAACAAACAUACCUUGCUGCGCUGCUUCGAUAUAGUGCUUAAGCCUCUUGACUGGUAUUUCCAUUUGCUCGUCCGUCCAAAUGCACUUUCCUGAUACAGGGUCCAAGGUUUCACCAGCCCCGAAGAACCAAGUCCGGUAACGGUCUGUCCAGUUAAUUGUCUCUGGUUCGAUCCCUUUAUCAACCAGAUCAUUCUCAAUCUUGGCCCACUUAGGCCGAGCUGCCAGGUAGCCACCUGACCCCGUGCGAUGGUGAUGCUUCUUCUUCACAGCAUUUUGCUUGUUUGUCGACGACAUCUUCUUACUCUUUUCCGAUGUCUUGUGGGCCACAAAUGCGGGUCAGUGAUCUCUGAUCUUCUCAUAUCUGCCCUUGAAUUCCGGUGUCUCUUUAUUUUCGACAAACUUAUUCAGCUCUUUCUUCCACCUCCUGAAUAGUUCUGCCAUCCUCUUAAGAGCAAAAGACUUGAUUAAUUGCUCUUUAACUGGCUUCUCCGGAUCAUCCUCUGGCUGUAGGGUGAAAUUUGACUUCAGCUCAGUCCAAAGAUCAUUUUUCUGCAUAUCAUUGACAUAAGACACCUCAGGGUCUUCUGUAGCCGGCUUUAACCAUUGCUGCAUGCUGAUCGGGAUCUUGUCCCUAACCAAAACCCCGCACUGAGCAACAAAUGCGCUCUUUGUCCGGAUAGGUUCAUUCGGUUGGCCCUCGGGCGCGAUUGCUAUGAUCUCAAACUUUUCAUCCGAGCUCAACUUUUUCUUCGGGCCUCGUCUCUUUACCGAAGUUGUGCUCGAUCCGGAGGGCUAGAAAAAAGAACAAAGACUUAAUUAAUAUGUGUACAUACCAAAACAAUGAAUGCAUCAAUUAGCUAGUCAGCAGAAGCUUAACUAAUACUAGAUCAUUGAUGGUGCGUGUUGUUGCGCCCAUCUAUUUUGGAUCUUGGUUGUUAAGGAUAUAACAUUGCUAGUAUACAUUUCUUGCAUUGUUUUAAAAUAUUAUGCUUUCUAUAGCAUGUACUUCUCUUUAUUUUCAAAAUAAUGGUAUGUAAAUCAUCUUCAUUGGGGCAACAUUACAACUUCCAUAUCAACAUAAGCUUAGAUAUAAAUAGGGCAGUGCCAUAAGCCAACCUAUCCAUAUCCACGUUAUAAUAAUGGAUGGCUAUGUACAUUUUUGUUCAAGCAUAGUACAAGCUUGUUGCAGUUGCAUAGGAACAUAGACUUAAACAUAAUAUAAACUUGAAAUGUAUAAUGAUGGAAGAAGGCGGCAUGACAGUAUAUUAUACUUGGAAAACAAAUUGUACGAUGGAGUAGAGCGAACUGGAGAAGAUGUAGACCUCAAAUAGGCACCAGAAACACUGCACCAAAAUUUCUAUGAUUAUGGAUACAUCCAACAUGGCGGACGGUCAGAGGGCAUGAGAAGUAUAAUCAUAUACUAUCUAAGAAAAUCAAGACUCUUGAUUAUUACAUCAAAAGCAAGGCACAGAACAAGCUUACAUAUCGUAUUGUUCGUGCUAACACAAAUAAUAAUAUCUUCUAACACACGAAUGUAAUUUGGCCAAAAGAUAAUUUCUUCAUACGAAUUCCAACGUCACUACAUUUUUUUUCAUUGGGGCUUAAAAAUUGUUUGACCGUUUUACAUGAGAUAGAAAGAACUGACUGAACCGAGCAACAAAAGGCAACAAAAACACAAAUCAGUUUCCUCUCAUUCUCUGCCUACAUCAUAUUUUUUUUCCUGUAAAUAUAUCUUGUGAUUCAUCAUUGUUUCAGACCGUAAGGGCCGGAAGCUCUACCUAAGGCGGCUGCCAUACAAGGAUACACACAGCUUCGCCUUAAACACCCUCCUUGUGGCGAUGCUUAGAAAGGGAAUAACCUCAUGUAUUACCUUGCUCGGAAUAGCCAUGUUUUCAAAUCCCAACUAAUCCACCUUAAUCCUAACAUCAAAUGAACACAACAUUAACUUGAGAUCAGACGCUAUGGAGUCAGAGUGAUUGCAUGACUCGAGGCACAAGGCAACAGGCUGGGGUGAAGGCGUGGCAGCUGCAUGCCACCACGAAACACCGGCGAGCAGAGAACCGGAAGAUACAUAAUCGUUUAUGUCUUAUGAGUUAAUUUCUCCACUCAUUGCACGCUACAAAACAUUAGCGAGUAUACAUAGGAUGUCCCUUUCUGAACAACUACAUAAUAUAUAAAUUCCAAUUGCAUUAGGGAUUUCAUCUAGAGUAUAUUCCCUGAAUUAUUUGAAAUGAAGUAAUGGUUUUUCUAAUCCUACUUUGACCUGGAGCAUCACUCUGAAACAUCAGGGAACACACACAUCUUCAGAAGUAGCAGCAGUAGCUAAUGUGAAAAGUUCACUGGAAUGCUAGGAUACUAAAAAAGCUAGUACAUCCCAAUAGCCAAAGAACAUAACAAAAUUUGGCAUCAUGUGUCAAGUAGCUCACAGUGGGCAUAAAUUUGUACAUUAUAUGUCCCUUUAUUAACUCACUUGUCUCUGAUUUUUAACUAUUAGGAAAUAAUAGUGGUCAUCAAAAUUAGAAUAUAUUGUAAUGCUCUAGAAUAGGAUCUAAUUGUUGGGAGUUGUUACCUGAGGGAAUCCUUGCGGGGAGCUGAGCAUAGGAACCAAUGCUGUUCCGCACUGUCCACGUGACUGACCACCGUGCUGCCUCCAUGAGCCGAUGUGGAACUUCUACCAACAAGUGAUUUGUACAUGACUGCUCAAGCAAACUAAACCACUAAAUCCAAAGGGGAUUCGUUCCAGAAAGGUGCAACACCUUGAGAAAUCUACGUGUAGAAUUGAAGAGGGGAGAGUAUCAGGAGGUAAACCUAGAGAACCUGCAUAGUUUGUGAGUACAAAGAACAGUAUGAGUAAAAUAAAUUUCAAAAAUUGGAUUAGAUGAAGAAUCAGGUGAAGAGGAGAUAAAGGAAAGAACCAUCACCCAUUGCUGCACGAGAGUGGUUUUCAGAAGUAAGGGGAGUAGGGAAGGAGCAACAGCACUUUGGAUCGUAUAUUCGUAUAUGCGCGCGAGUGAAUUGAAGUAAAAAGCAUGAAUCAUCAGACCUGCAAUAAUCUUCAGUUUAGCCGGUUCAUCAAUUGCCAUUAAUCGAUCCUGAUUAAAACCUCAACGAAUCGAUGGCUAGUGAAUUUCAAUCGACAGCGGCUGUUCGCGGCCCUGACCAUCUCCCUAUUGCGUCACCGACCAGGACGCCGUUCGGUCGCUCGGCGAGGAGCGCCGUGUCAGUCGGACCUGAAGCACAGUGGCCAUGAGACACCAUCGGUCGCGUCGAUCCGACCCCAACACGGCCGCCAUCACUACUGCCCAGAUUCUGCUGCCAGCCGACAGCAGCAACCGUGCGAAACUGCGAACCAAAGGAUCUGGCGACGACGCGCCUGAGAACUCUAGAUAUGGCUUGAAAACCAGAAAUAUGCUUCACGGAUGUAGAGCGUGUUUGGUUGAGUUCCAGGAGCAAAAUUGCCUGGCCUGAGACCUUCCUGGGUUGUGCCUGCUUGUUGUUUGGAUAGUAGCCUCAAAUCACAGGCAUGUUCCUGGCCUGGAGUUGACAUGCACCUGAUUAGCCUGGGUAGAUCACAGGCAGCUUGAUUAGCCUGGAUGAGGCCAACGGAACCAGACGCCUGGCCUCCAGGCAGAUGCGUUUUGCGUCAAUUAGCAAGUUGUAUACUGUACUUUUUGUCAACUCAGCCGUCCCAUCUAAUUAUUUAAUAUUUAAGUACGUGUCCCAGGCCAGGUUUGCAACCAAACAUCACAUGCACACAGCAGCCUGGCCAGGCAAAAAUCCUCCUUCUCCCAGGCUACUAUCAGGCAUCAACUUUUGCUAGGCAUCACACCCAGGACAUGAACCAAACAUGCCCGUAGUGCGUCACUGACCUGGGGAUGAGCUCGUCGCCGGCUCGAGAAAAAGUCGCUCCCUGCUGCGCUUUUGGGGAAGAUAGGAAAUGUAGAAGAAUGAGCCAAUCUAGUGAAUCCCGUGGAACUUAAUGGAACCUGCACUCAUUUGGGAGCACAAAGAACAACAUCAAUUGAAAAAAAUUCAUGCAGAAUUUGGGGGAGAGUAGAGGUACCAACGAGGGAACACUUGUAAAAGGCCAGUAGCGGAGACUAAUUAUCGUCCUGUCAACCAUGGCAGCCUGCAAGUAAAAGGAGGAGAAUGAGGAAGGAGAAGCUCCACGAUGGAGAUUAAAUGGACGCAAUUGAAUGGAUGUUGUAACUGAGCCCAGUUAUUGGCCACCGGUGAGUGCGCCUCAUCGAUUGCAAAUUUGCCAUUAUAAUGGUCCGCUGCAACUAUGAAUUGAGUCCCGAAUCGCGGGCAACUGGAGGCAACCGACAGGGGACGAUCCGUUGCCCCGGAUACCUCCUGCUGGCGUCGCCCAGCGAGGCAACCCGGCCGGUCGCGUAGGUCGAGGCACAUCCGGUCGGUCCAAUCGACCUCGCAUCGGCACUGUUUUUUUUUCUCGCAUCAGGACUGGAUGAACGCUCAUCGGUCGCUCGUGUGUAACCCUAGUCGAUGGAACCGCACAAGUGGACCUUCUUCAGCGAAGCCCGUGGGCUGGAAUGGGCUGGCCGACGGCCCAGUUAACCACAGGGCUACGUUUUGGCCUGCGGAGCAGAAGCCCCAGGACAGCCGGCCCAGUUUUUAUCAGAUGUGGGACAGAUUGCUUUAAACAGGAGAUCCGACGACCAAAAACGUCUAGAUCGUGCAAACGGAUGGUCAGAAACGCGAAGCGCUGAGAGAGCUCGCUUUAGGUGCAGUUGUAUUGUACUUAAUAUAUACCUGGCCGGACUCGGUUCGGUCACCAGAGACGUCAUCACGGUCUCCUUCUUGCACCGGCAUUGUGUCACCGGAGCCGUCCUCACGGUCUCCUUCUUGCACCGGCAUUAGGUCACCGGAGCCAUCAUAAUCAUAGCCAGCUGCUUCCAUACCAUCGGUGUCGUUGAGAAACAACGAGCAGACGGCAUCCCUUCCUCGUGCGAUUAUGUCCCCCAACAACUCUUCUUGUACUUCGUCUCGGGCGGUGUCCAUAGUUUCUACAAAUAUUUAUAACAUGGCAAUUAUUAUUCAAACAUGACAGAUGGAUAUAUUAGUGGCAAACGUAGAACUAAUAUUAAUUAGUGGCCUCGACGCUACUUCUCUAGGGUUUGGGGUGGCCUCGACGCUGCUUCUCCAGGGUUUGAAGUGGCCUCGACAACGCUUCAAGGAUAAAAAAAGAAGAGGAAGAAGAAAAAAAGGGGAGAAGAAAGAAUAGAUCCUCUUUUUUUUUCUUCUUCUUCCUCUUUUUUUUUAUCGGGAACGAGGGUCGUCGACGCCCACGUCACUUGUGGGACGUGGAUGUAGUGUCCGACACCGAUGGCCACAUGUAUCUCACACCCACGAUACUUACUAUUUAGGGUUUCCUCUACCGCUCGGCGACCCUGACCCUCGACGACCCUCGUUUCNNNNNNNNNNNNNNNNNNNNNNNNNNNNNNNNNNNNNNNNNNNNNNNNNNNNNNNNNNNNNNNNNNNNNNNNNNNNNNNNNNNNNNNNNNNNNNNNNNNNNNNNNNNNNNNNNNNNNNNNNNNNNNNNNNNNNNNNNNNNNNNNNNNNNNNNNNNNNNNNNNNNNNNNNNNNNNNNNNNNNNNNNNNNNNNNNNNNNNNNNNNNNNNNNNNNNNNNNNNNNNNNNNNNNNNNNNNNNNNNNNNNNNNNNNNNNNNNNNNNNNNNNNNNNNNNNNNNNNNNNNNNNNNNNNNNNNNNNNNNNNNNNNNNNNNNNNNNNNNNNNNNNNNNNNNNNNNNNNNNNNNNNNNNNNNNNNNNNNNNNNNNNNNNNNNNNNNNNNNNNNNNNNNNNNNNNNNNNNNNNNNNNNNNNNNNNNNNNNNNNNNNNNNNNNNNNNNNNNNNNNNNNNNNNNNNNNNNNNNNNNNNNNNNNNNNNNNNNNNNNNNNNNNNNNNNNNNNNNNNNNNNNNNNNNNNNNNNNNNNNNNNNNNNNNNNNNNNNNNNNNNNNNNNNNNNNNNNNNNNNNNNNNNNNNNNNNNNNNNNNNNNNNNNNNNNNNNNNNNNNNNNNNNNNNNNNNNNNNNNNNNNNNNNNNNNNNNNNNNNNNNNNNNNNNNNNNNNNNNNNNNNNNNNNNNNNNNNNNNNNNNNNNNNNNNNNNNNNNNNNNNNNNNNNNNNNNNNNNNNNNNNNNNNNNNNNNNNNNNNNNNNNNNNNNNNNNNNNNNNNNNNNNNNNNNNNNNNNNNNNNNNNNNNNNNNNNNNNNNNNNNNNNNNNNNNNNNNNNNNNNNNNNNNNNNNNNNNNNNNNNNNNNNNNNNNNNNNNNNNNNNNNNNNNNNNNNNNNNNNNNNNNNNNNNNNNNNNNNNNNNNNNNNNNNNNNNNNNNNNNNNNNNNNNNNNNNNNNNNNNNNNNNNNNNNNNNNNNNNNNNNNNNNNNNNNNNNNNNNNNNNNNNNNNNNNNNNNNNNNNNNNNNNNNNNNNNNNNNNNNNNNNNNNNNNNNNNNNNNNNNNNNNNNNNNNNNNNNNNNNNNNNNNNNNNNNNNNNNNNNNNNNNNNNNNNNNNNNNNNNNNNNNNNNNNNNNNNNNNNNNNNNNNNNNNNNNNNNNNNNNNNNNNNNNNNNNNNNNNNNNNNNNNNNNNNNNNNNNNNNNNNNNNNNNNNNNNNNNNNNNNNNNNNNNNNNNNNNNNNNNNNNNNNNNNNNNNNNNNNNNNNNNNNNNNNNNNNNNNNNNNNNNNNNNNCGGGACUAAAGGGGGGCAUUGGUCACGGUUUGUGCCACGAACCGUGACCAAUGCCCCCUUUAGUCCCGGUUGGUGCCAUCAACCGGGACCAAAGGCCUGCGCCUGCCAAAGCCGUGGUGCGGUAGGAUGUUUAGUCCCACCUCGCUAGCUGAGGAGCGGCCGCACCUGUUUAUAAGCGCUGCACCUGUUUGGGCCUAAUCUCACAACGCUAUGCCUGCUGGGCCUUCUGCGGGCCUGAAUCCUGGCCCAUGGAUGGGCUUCUAGUCGUAUUCAGGCCGUGGUGGCCCAGUAGGUGGCAUUUUUUAUUACUAUUUGAUUUUUCAUUUCUACUUAGAACUAAAUACUUGUAGUUUUUUAGUGAUUUUUUUCUUUUAGGUCACAAAAAUUAUAAACUUUCUAUUAUUGCCAUUAGUUUUAAAAUUUGAAUAGUUUAAUUUUGAAUUUUUUAAAAUUUGUGUGAAUCACUAGUUUAUGAAUAACUUUACCGUAAAAAUUGAUUUUUGAGUCAUUUUUUUCCUGCUAUUUAAUAUUACUGUGUUUUAUCAUUAUACUCAAUUUGGUAAUUUUAGUUAGUCAUAACAAAUAUUAUAGGCAUUUUUUUCUUUUUUGCUAUUUUUUUUCAUUUCUACUUAGAACAAAAUACUUAUAGUUCUUUAGUGAUUUCUUUUUUCUUUUAGGUCACAAAAAUUAUAAACUUUCUGGUAGUUCCAUUAGUUUUCANNNNNNNNNNNNNNNNNNNNNNNNNNNNNNNNNNNNNNNNNNNNNNNNNNNNNNNNNNNNNNNNNNNNNNNNNNNNNNNNNNNNNNNNNNNNNNNNNNNNNNNNNNNNNNNNNNNNNNNNNNNNNNNNNNNNNNNNNNNNNNNNNNNNNNNNNNNNNNNNNNNNNNNNNNNNNNNNNNNNNNNNNNNNNNNNNNNNNNNNNNNNNNNNNNNNNNNNNNNNNNNNNNNNNNNNNNNNNNNNNNNUUAAUUCUUUUUGCUUUUCGUUUUAGAAAAAUUAUAAACUUUCUGUUAGUGCCAUUAGUUUUCAAAUUUGAAAACACUUUUUUAGUUUUUUUGCUUUCUUUGUUGCUUUAUUUAUUUUAUUUUGUUUCUACUUACAAAAAAAUACUUAUUGUUGCUAUUUUUUUUCAGUUUUUGUUUUGUUUUCUUUAUUAUUUAUUUUCUUUUGUUUUUUGCUUUAAUUUUUAAUUCUUUUUGCUUUUAGGUCAGCAAAAUUAUAAACUUUCUGUUAGUGCCACUAGUUUUAGAAAAAUUAUAAACUUUCUGUUAGUGCCAUUAGUUUUCAAAUUUGAAUAGUUAAAAUUUGAAUUCUUUAAAAUUUGUAUGAACCACAAGUUUGUGAUUAACUUUACUAAAAAAAUGAACAUAGAUGCACCUAUAGAGAAAAUUCGACCUAAAUUCAUAGUUUUCAAAUGAACUCUCAAAAAGUUGGCAUAGCAUACUCGUGUGUUACAAAGUUGGCAUGGUAUCAUCAUAAUAGUUGCUUGAGAAAGUCUUCACUUUUUCUUCGCUUGUGUCAUUUGCUUAUUGCGCCGUAACCAUGGAUAAUCUUCAUCGUUUAUCAGGAUGCUUGGGUCAGCCUUGACAUUGAAGGGAGGAAUUUCAUGAAACUUUUCAUAAUCUUCAGACAUGUCUGUCUUGCCCUCCACUCCCAGGAUAUCCCUUUUUCCUGAAAGAACUAUAUGGCGCUUUGGCUCAUCGUAUGAUGUAUUCGCUUCCUUAUCUUUUCUUUUUCUCGGUUUGGUAGACAUGUCCUUCACAUAGAUAACCUGUGCCACAUCAUUGGCUAGGACGAACGGUUCGUCAGUAUACCCAAGAUUUUUCAGAUCCACUGUUGUCAUUCCGUACUGUGGGUCUACCUGUACCCCGCCGCCUGACAGAUUGACCCAUUUGCACUUAAACAAAGGGACCUUAAAAUCAUGUCCGUAGUCAAGUUCCCAUAUGUCCAUUAUGUAACCAUAAUAUGCAUCCUUUCCGCUCUCGGUUGCUGCAUCAAAGCGGACACCGCUGUUUUGGUUGGUGCUCUUUUGAUCUUGGGCGAUCAUGUAAAAUGUAUUCCCAUUUAUCUCGUAUCCUUUGUAAGUCAAUACAGUCAAAGAUGGUCCCCUGGACAACAAGUGCAACUCAUCACAAACAGUGUUGUCACCUCUGAGACGUGUUUCCAACCAACUGUUGAAAGUCCUGAUGUGUUCACAUGUAAUCUAGUCGUCGCACUGCUCCGGAUGUUUGGAGCGCAGACUGUUUUUGUGUUCAUCGAUAUACGGGGCCACCAUGGUAGAGUUCUGUAGAACUGUGUAGUGUGCUUGAGACCAAGAAUAUCCGUCCCUGCAUAUUAUUGAGUCACUUCCAAGAGUGCCUUUUCCAGUCAGUCUCCCCUCAUACCGCGAUUUAGGGAGACCUAUCUUCUUAAGGCCAGGAAUGAAGUCAACACAAAAUUCGAUAACAUCCUCUGUUUGAUGGCCCAUGGAGAUGCUUCCUUCUGACCUAGCGCGGUUACGGACAUAUUUCUUUAGGACUCCCAUGAACCUCUCAAAGGGGAACAUAUUGUGUAGAAAUACGGGCCCCAGGAUGACAAUCUCGUCGACUAGAUGAACUAGGACGUGCGUCAUGAUAUUGAAGAAGGAUGGUGGGAACACCAGCUCGAAACUGACAAGACAUUGCGCCACAUCACUCCUUAGCCUUGGUACAAUUUCUGGAUCGAUCACCUUCUGAGAGAUUGCAUUGAGGAAUGCACAUAGCUUCACAAUGGCUAAUCGGACGUUUUCUGGUAGAAGCCCCCUCAAUGCAGCCGGAAGCAGUUGCGUCAUAAUCACAUGGCAGUCAUGAGACUUUAGGUUCUGAAACUUUUUCUCUGGCAUAUUUAUUAUUCCCUUUAUAUUCGAUGAGAAGCCAGUCGUGACCUUCAUACUGAGCAGGCAUUCAAAGAAGAUUUCUUUCUCUUCUUUCGUAAGAGCAUAGCUGGCAGGACCUUUAUACUGCUUCGGAGGCAUGCCGUCUUUUUCAUGCAAAUGUUGCAGGUCCUCCCAUGCCUCGGAUGUAUCUUUUGUCUUCCCAUACAAGAAGCCUACCAGGUUCACACAAAGGUUCUUCAUCACGUGCAUCACGUCGAUUGAAGAGCAGACCUCUAGGUCUUUCCAGUAGGGUAGGUCCCAAAAUAUAGAUUUCUUCUUCCACAUGGGUGCGUGUCCCUCAGCGUCAUUCGGAACAGCUAGUCCGCCGGGACACUUUCCAAAGAUUACAUGUAAAUCAUUGACCAUAGCAAGUACGUGAUCACCGGUACGCAUGGCGGGCUUCUUCUGGUGAUCUGCCUCGCCUUUGAAAUGCUUGCCUUUCUUUCGACAUUGAUGGUUGGUCGGAAGAAAUCAACGAUGGCCCAGGUACACAUUUUUCCUGCAUUUGUCCAGGUAUAUACUUUCAGUGUCAUCUAAACAGUGCGUGCAUGCGUGGUAUCCUUUGUUUGUCUAUCCUGAAAGGUUACUGAGAGCGGGCCAAUCAUUGACGGUCACGAACAGCAAAGCCUUUAGGUUAAAUUCCUCCUGUCUAUGGUCAUCCCACGUACGUACACUGUUUCCAUUCCACAGCUGUAAAAGUUCUUCAACUAAUGGCCUUAGGUACACAUCAAUGUCCUUGCCGGGUUGCUUAGUGUAGGGGAACAUAGUAAUUUCAAAAUUUUCCUACGCACACGCAAGAUCAUGGUGAUGCAUAGCAACGAGAGGGGAGAGUGUUGUCUAUGUACCCUCGUAGACCGAAGCGGAAGCGCUGACACAACGUAGAGGAAGUAGUCGUACGUCUUCCCGAUCCUACCGAUCCAAGCACCGUUACUCCGGCACCUCCGAGUUCUUAGCACACGUACAGCUCGAUGACGCUCCCCAGGCUUCGAUCCAACAAAGCUUCGGGGAUGAGUUCCAUCAGCACAACGGCGUGGUGACGAUGAUGAUGUUCUACCGACGCAGGGCUUCGCCUAAGCACUACAAUGAUAUGACCGAGGUGGAAUAUGGUGGAAGGGGGCACCGCACACGGCUAAGGAACGAUCACGUUGAUCAAUUGUGUGUUCUAGGGUGUCCCCUUGCCUCCGUAUAUAAAGGAUCCAAGGGGGAGGGGUUCGGCCGGCCCUAUGGAGGCGCAGGAGGAGUCCUACUCCUACCGGGAGUAGGACUCCCCCCUUUCCUAGUCCAAGUAGGAUUGGUGGAGAAGAAAGGGAAAGAGGGGGGUGCAGCCCCUCCCUCCUUGUCCAAUUCGGACUAGGGGGAGAGGGGGCGCGCGGCCUGCCCUGGCAGCCCCUUCCUAUUCUCCACUUUAGGCCCAUGAGGCCCAUUAACACCCCGGGGGGUUCCGGUAACCCCCCGGUGCUCCGGUUUUAUCCGAAACUUCAUCGGAACCCUUCCGGUGUCUGAAUAUAGUCAUCCAAUAUAUCAAUCUUUAUGUCUCGACCAUUUCGAGACUCCUCGUCAUGCCCGUGAUCACAUCCGGGACACCGAACUAACUUCGGUACAUCAAAAUGUAUAAACUCAUAAUAACUAUCAUCGUAACGUUAAGCGUGCGGACCCUAUGGUUCGAGAACAAUGUAGACAUGACCGAGACACGUCUCCGGUCAAUAACCAAUAGCGGGACCUGGAUGCCCAUAUUGGCUCCUACAUAUUCUACGAAGAUCUUUAUCGGUCAGACCGCAUAACAACAUACGUUGUUCCCUUUGUCAUCGGUAUGUUACUUGCCCGAGAUUCGAUCGUCGGUAUCCAAUACCUAGUUCAAUCUCGUUACCGGCAAAUCUCUUUACUCGUUCCGUAAUACAUCAUCUCACAACUAACUCAUUAGUUGUAAUGCUUGCAAGGCUUAUGUGAUGUGCAUUACCGAGAGGGCCCAGAGAUACCUCUCCGACAAUCGGAGUGACAAAUCCUAAUCUCGAAAUACGCCAACCCAACAUCUACCUUUGGAGACACCUGUAGAGCACCUUUAUAAUCACCCAGUUACGUUGUGACGUUUGGUAGCACACAAAGUGUUCCUCCGGCAAACGGGAGUUGCAUAAUCUCAUAGUCAUAGGAACAUGUAUAAGUCAUGAAGAAAGCAAUAGCAACAUACUAAACGAUCGGGUGCUAAGCUAAUGGAAUGGGUCAUGUCAAUCAGAUCAUUCAACUAAUGAUGUGAUCUCGUUAAUCAAAUAACAACUCUUUGUUCAUGGUUAGGAAACAUAACCAUCUUUGAUUAACGAGCUAGUCAAGUAGAGGCAUACUAGUGACACUCUGUUUGUCUAUGUAUUCACACAUGUAUUAUGUUUCCGGUUAAUACAAUUCUAGCAUGAAUAAUAAACAUUUAUCAUGAUGUAAGGAAAUAAAUAAUAACUUUAUUAUUGCCUCUAGGGCAUAUUUCCUUCAGUCUCCCACUUGCACUAGAGUCAAUAAUCUAGAUUACACAGUAAUGAUUCUAACACCCAUGGAGCCUUGGUGCUGAUCAUGUUUUGCUCGUGGAAGAGGCUUAGUCAACGGGUCUGCAACAUUCAGAUCCGUAUGUAUCUUGCAAAUCUCUAUGUCUCCCACCUGGACUAGAUCCCGGAUGGAAUUGAAGCGUCUCUUGAUGUGCUUGGUUCUCUUGUGAAAUAUGGAUUCCUUUGCCAAGGCAAUUGCACCAGUAUUGUCACAAAAGAUUUUCAUUAGACCCGAUGCACUAGGUAUGACACCUAGAUCGGAUAUGAACUCCUUCAUCCAGACUCCUUCGUUUGCUACUUCCGAAGCAGCUAUGUACUCCGCUUCACAUGUAGAUCCCGCCACAAUGCUUUGUUCAGAACUGCACCAACUGACAGCUCAACCGUUUAAUGUAAACAUGUAUCCGGUUUGUGAUUUAGAAUCGUCCGGAUCAGUGUCAAAGCUUGCAUCAACGUAACCGUUUACGAUGAGCUCUUUGUCACCUCCAUAUACGAGAAACAUAUCCUUAGUCCUUUUCAGGUACUUCAGGAUGUUCUUGACCGUUGUCCAGUGAUCCACUCCUGGAUUACUUUGGUACCUCCCUGCUAAACUUAUAGCAGGGCACACAUCAGGUCUGGUACACAGCAUUGCAUACAUGAUAGAGCCUAUGGCUGAAGCAUAGGGAACAUCUUUCAUUUUCUCUCUAUCUUCUGAAGUGGUCGGGCAUUGAGUCUGACUCAACUUCACACCUUGUAACACAGGCAAGAACCCUUUCUUUGCUUGAUCCAUUUUGAACUUCUUCAAAAUCUUGUCAAGGUAUGUGCUUUGUGAAAGUCCAAUUAAGCGUCUUGAUCUAUCUCUAUAGAUCUUUAUGCCUAAUAUGUAAGCAGCUUCACCGAGGUCUUUCAUUGAAAAACUCUUAUUCAAGUAUCCCUUUAUGCUAUCCAGAAAUUCUAUAUCAUUUCCAAUCAGUAAUAUGUCAUCCACAUAUAAUAUCAGAAAUGCUAUAGAGCUCCCACUCACUUUCUUGUCAAUACAGGCUUCUCCAAAAGUCUGUACAAAACCAAAUGCUUUGAUCACACUAUCAAAGCGUUUAUUCCAACUCCGAGAGGCUUGCACCAGUCCAUAAAUGGAUCGCUGGAGCUUGCACACUUUGUUAGAUCCUUUCGGAUCGACAAAACCUUCCGGUUGCAUCAUAUACAACUCUUCUUCCAGAAAUCCAUUCAGGAAUGCAGUUUUGACAUCCAUCUGCCAAAUUUCGUAAUCAUAAAAUGCGGCAAUUGCUAACAUGAUUCGAACGGACUUAAGCAUCGCUACGGGUGAGAAGGUCUCAUCAUAGUCAACCCCUUGAACUUGUCCAAAACCUUUUGCGACAAGUCGAGCUUUGUAGACAGUAACAUUACCGUCAGCGUCAGUCUUUUUCUUGAAGAUCCAUUUAUUCUCAAUUGCUUGCCGACCAUCGGGCAAGUUAACCAAAGUCCAUACUUUGUUCUCAUACAUGGAUCCCAUUUCAGAUUUCAUGGCUUCAAGCCAUUUUGCGGAAUCUGGGCUCACCAUCGCUUCUUCAUAGUUAGUAGGUUCAUCAUGAUCUAGCAGCAUGAUUUCUAGAACAGGAUUACCGUACCACUCUGGCGCGGAUCUCACUCUGGUUGAUCUACGAGGUUCAGUAGUAUCUUGUCCUGAAGUUUCAUGAUCAUUAUCAUUAGCUUCCUCACUUAUGGGUGUAGGUGUCGCAGAAACAGUUUUCUGUGAUGUACUUCUUUCCAAUAAGGGGGCAGGUACAGUUACCUCGUCAAGUUCUACUUUCCUCCCACUCACUUCUUUCGAGAGAAACUCCUUCUCUAGAAAGGAUCCAUUCUUAGCAACGAAUGUCUUGCCUUCGGAUCUGUGAUAGAAGGUGUACCCAACAGUCUCCUUUGGGUAACCUAUGAAGACACAUUUCUCCGAUUUGGGUUCAAGCUUAUCAGGUUGAAGCUUUUUCACAUAAGCAUCGCAGCCCCAGACUUUAAGAAACGACAACUUUGGUUUCUUGCCAAACCAUAGUUCAUAAGGCGUCGUCUCAACGGAUUUUGAUGCUGCCCUAUUUAACGUGAAUGCGGCCGUCUCUAAAGCAUAACCCCAAAACGAUAGCGGUAAAUCAGUAAGAGACAUCAUAGAUCGCACCAUAUCUAGUAAAGUACGAUUACGACGUUCGGACACACCAUUACGCUGUGGUGUUCCGGGUGGCGUGAGUUGCGAAACUAUUCCGCAUUGUUUCAAAUGUACACCAAACUCGUAACUCAAAUAUUCUCCUCCAUGAUCAGAUCGUAGAAACUUUAUUUUCUCGUUACGAUGAUUUUCAACUUCACUCUGAAAUUCUUUGAACUUUUCAAAUGUUUCAGACUUGUGUUUCAUUAAGUAGAUAUACCCAUAUCUGCUUAAAUCAUUUGUGAAGUUGAGAAAAUAACGAUAUCCGCCACGAGCCUCAAUAUUCAUCGGACCACAUACAUCGGUAUGUAUGAUUUCCAACAAAUCUGUUGCUCUCUCCAUAGUACCGGAGAACGGUGUUUUAGUCAUCUUGCCCAUGAGGCACGGUUCGCAAGUACCAAGUGAUUCAUAAUCAAGUAGUUCCAAAAGUCCAUCAGUAUGGAGUUUCUUCAUGCGCUUUACACCGAUAUGACCUAAACGGCAGUGCCACAAAUAAGUUGCACUAUCAUUAUCAACUCUGCAUCUUUUGGUUUCAACAUUAUGAAUAUGUGUAUCACUACUAUCGAGAUUCAUCAGAAAUAGACCACUCUUCAAGGGUUCAUGACCAUAAAAGAUAUUACUCAUAUAAAUAGAACAACCAUUAUUCUCUGAUUUAAAUGAAUAACCGUCUCGCAUCAAACAAGAUCCAGAUAUAAUGUUCAUGCUUAACGCUGGCACCAAAUGACAAUUAUUUAGGUCUAAUACUAAUCCCGAAGGUAGAUGUAGAGGUAGCGUGCCGACCGCGAUCACAUCGACUUUGGAACCGUUUCCCACGCGCAUCGUCACCUCGUCCUUUGCCAGUGUUCGCCUAAUCCGUAGUCCCUGUUUCGAGUUGCAAAUAUUAGCAAUAUAACCAGUAUCAAAUACCCAGGUGCUACUGCGAGCUCUAGUAAGGUACACAUCAAUAACAUGUAUAUCACUUAUACCUUUAUUCACCUUGCCAUCCUUCUUAUCCGCCAAAUACUUGGGGCAGUUCCGCUUCCAGUGACCAGUCUGCUUGUAGUAGAAGCACUCAGUUUCAGGCUUAGGUCCAGACUUGGGUUUCUUCUCCUGAGCAGCAACUUGCUUGCCGUUCUUCUUGAAGUUCCCCUUCUUCUUCCCUUUGCCCCUUUUCUUGAAACUAGUGGUCUUGUUGACCAUCAACACUUCAUGCUCCUUCUUGAUUUCUACCUCCGCAGCUUUCAGCAUUGCGAAGAGCUCGAGAAUAGUCUUAUUCAUCCAUUGCAUAUUAUAGUUCAUCACAAAGCUCUUGUAGCUUGGUGGCAGUGAUUGGAGAAUUCUGUCAAUGACGCAAUCAUCUGGAAAAUUAACUCCCAUCUAAAUCAAGUGAUUAUUAUACCCAGACAUUUUGAGUAUAUGCUCACUGACAGAACUAUUCUCCUCCAUCUUGCAGCUAUAGAACUUAUUGGAGACUUCAUAUCUCUCAAUCCGGGCAUUUGCUUGAAAUAUUAGCUUCAACUCCUGGAACAUCUCAUAUGCUCCAUGACGUUCAAAACGUCGUUGAAGUCCCAAUUCUAAGCCGUAAAGCAUGGCACACUGAACUAUCGAGUGGUCAUCAGCUUUGCUCCGCCAGACGUUCAUAACAUCUGGUGUUGCUCCAGCAGCAGGCCUGGCACCCAGCGGUGCUUCCAGGACGUAAUUCUUCUGUGCAGCAAUGAGGAUAAUCCUCAAGUUACGGACCCAGUCCGUGUAAUUGCUACCAUCAUCUUUCAACUUUGCUUUUGUUGGGGAACGUAGUAAUUUCAAAAAUUUCCUACGCACACGCAAGAUCAUGGUGAUGCAUAGCAACGAGGGGGAGAGUCUGAUCUACGUACCCUUGUAGAUCGCAACGGAAGCGUUGACACAACGUAGAGGAAGUAGUCGUACGUCUUCUUCCCGAUCCGACCGAUCCAAGCACUGUUACUCCGGCACCUCCGAGUUCUUAGCACACGUUCAGCUCGAUGACGAUCCUCGGGCUCCGAUCCAGCAAAGCGUCGAGGAAGAGUUCCGUCAGCACGACGGCGUGGUGACGAUCUUGACGUACUACCGACGUAGGGCUUCGCCUAAGCACUACAACGGUAUGAUCGAGGUGGAAUUUGGUGGCAGGGGGCACCGCACACGGCUAAGGAACGAUUUCAAGGAUCAACUUGUGUGUCUAUGGGGAGCCCCCCGCCCCUGUAUAUAAAGGAUGGAGGAGGAGGAGGCCGGCCAAGGCAAAGGUGCGGCCAGGAUAGGGAGUCCUACUAGGACUCCAAGUCCUAGUAGGAGUCCACCAAAAGGGGAGGAAGGGAGAAGGAAUAGGAGGAGAAGGAGAGGUGGCCGGCCCCCUUUUCCCUAGUCCAAUUCGGACCAAAGGGGAGGGGGGGCGCAGCAGCCUUUUCCUCUUCCCACUAAAGCCCAUCAAGGCCCAUUACUUCUCCCGUAACUACCCGGUACUCCGAAAAAUACCCGAAUCACUCGGAACCUUUCCGAUGUCCGAAUAUAGUCGUCCAAUAUAUCGAUCUUUACGUCUCGACCAUUUCGAGACUCCUCGUCAUGUCCCCGAUUUCAUCCGGGACUCCGAACUCCUUCGGUACAUCAAUACUCAUAAACUCAUAAUAUAACUGUCAUCGAAACCUAAAGCGUGCGGACCCUAUGGUUCGAGAACAAUGUAGACAUGACCGAGACACGUCUUCGGUCAAUAACCAAUAGCGGGACCUGGAUGCCCAUAUUGGCUCCUACAUAUUCUACGAAGAUCUUUAUCGGUCAGACCGCAUAACAACAUACGUUGUUCCCUUUGUCAUCGGUAUGUUACUUGCCCGAGAUUCGAUCGUCGGUAUCCAAUACCUAGUUCAAUCUCGUUACCGGCAAGUCUCUUUACUCAUUCUAUAAUACAUCAUCCCACAACUAACUCAUUAGUUGCAAUGCUUGCAAGGCUUAAGUGAUGUGCAUUACCGAGAGGGCCCAGAGAUACCUCUCCGAUAAUCGGAGUGACAAAUCCUAAUCUCGAAAUACGCCAACCCAACAUCUUCCUUUGGAGACACCUGUAAUGCUCCUUUAUAAUCACCCAGUUACGUUGUGACGUUUUGUAGCACCCAAAGUGAUCCUCCGGCAAACGGGAGUUGCAUAAUCUCAUAGUCAUAGGAACAUGUAUAAGUCAUGAAGAAAGCAAUAGCAACAUACUAAACGAUCGGGUGCUAAGCUAAUGGAAUGGGUCAUGUCAAUCAGAUCAUUCAACUAAUGAUGUGACCUCGUUAAUCAAAUAACAACUCUUUUGUCCAUGGUUAGGAAACAUAACCAUCUUUGAUUAACGAGCUAGUCAAGUAGAGGCAUACUAGUGACACUCUGUUUGUCUAUGUAUUCACACAUGUAUUAUGUUUCCGGUUAAUACAAUUCUAGCAUGAAUAAUAAACAUUUAUCAUGAUAUAAGGAAAUAAAUAAUAACUUCAUUAUUGCCUCUAGGGCAUAUUUCCUUCAGUCUCCCACUUGCACUAGAGUCAAUAAUCUAGUUCACAUCGCCAUGUGAUUUAACAGCAAUAGUUCACAUCACCAUGUGAUUAACACCCAUAGUUCACAUCGUCAUGUGACCAACACUCAAAGGGUUUACUAGAGUCAGUAAUCUAGUUCACAUAUCUAUGUGAUUAACACCCAAAGAGUACUAAGGUGUGAUCAUGUUUUGCUUGUGAGAUAAUUUUAGUCAACGGGUCUGUCACAUUCAGAUCUGUAAGUAUUUUGCAAGUUCUAUGUCUACAAUGCUCUACACGGAGCUACUCUAGCUAAUUGCUCCCACUUUCAAUAUGUAUCCAGAUUGAGACUUUAGAUUCAUCUGGAUCAGUGUCAAAAACUUGCAUCGACGUAACCCUUUACGACGAACCUUUUUGUCACGUCCAUAAUCGAGAAACAUAUCCUUAUUUCACUAAGGAUAAUUCUGACCGCUGUCCAGUGAUCUACUCCUAGAUCACUAUUAUACUCCCUUGCCAAAUCAAUGCAGGGUAUACAAUAGAUCUGGUAUACAGCAUGACAUACUUUAUAGAACCUAUGGCCAAGGCAUAGGGAAUGACUUUCAUUCUCUUUCUAUCUUCUGCCGUGGUCGGGCUUUGAGUCUUACUCAACUUCACACCUUGUAAUACAGGCAAGAACUCUUUCUUUGACUGCUCCAUUUUGAGCUACUUCAAAAUCUUGUCAAGGUAUGUACUUAUUGAAAAAACUUAUCAAGCGUCUUGAUCUAUCUCUAUAGAUCUUGAAGCUCAAUAUGUAAGCAGCUUCACCGAAGUCUUUCUUUGAAAAACUCCUUUCAAACACUCCUUUAUGCUUUACAGAAUAAUUCUACAUUAUUUCCGAUCAACAAUAUGUCAAUCACAUAUACUUAUCAGAAAUGCUGUAGUGUCCCACUCACUUUCUUGUAAAUACAGGCUUCACCGCAAGUCUGUAUAAAACUAUAUGCUUUGAUCAACUCAUCAAAGCGUAUAUUCCAACUCCGAGAUGCUUGCACCAGUCCACAGAUGGAUCGCUGGAGCUUGCACAUUUUGUUAGCACCUUUCGGAUUGACAAAACCUUCUGUUGCAUCAUAUACAACUCUUCUUUAAUAAAUCCAUUAAGGAAUGCAGUUUUGUUUAUCCAUUUGCCAGAUUUCAUAAAAUGCGGCAAUUACUAACAUGAUUCGGACAGACUCAAGCAUAGAUACGAGUGAGAAGCUCUCAUCGUAGUCAACACCUUGAACUUGUCGAAAACCUUUUUGCGACAAUUCUAGCUUUGUAGAUAGUAACACUACUAUCAGCGUCCGUCUUCCUCUUGAAGAUCCAUUUAUUCUCAAUUGCUUGCCGAUCAUUGGGCAAGUCAACCAAAGUCCAAACUUUGUUCUCAUACAUGGAUCAUAUCUCAGAUUUCAUGGCCUCAAACCAUUUCGCGGAAUCUGGGCUCAUCAUUGCUUCCUCAUAGUUCGUAGGUUCAUCAUGAUCUAGUAGCAUGACUUCCAGGAUUGGAUUACCGUACCACACUGGUGCGGAUCUCACUCUGGUUGAUCUACGUGGUUCAGUAGUAUCUUGUCCUGAAGUUUCAUGAUCAUCAUCAUUAGCUUCCUCACUAAUUGGUAUAGGUGUCGCAGAAACAGUUUUCUGUGAUGUACUAUUUUCCAAUAAGGGAGCAGGUACAGUUACCUCGUCAAGUUCUACUUUCCUCCCACUCACUUCUUUUGAGAGAAACUCCUUCUCUAGAAAGGAUCCAUUAUAAGCAACGAAUGUCUUGCCUUAGGAUCUGUGAUAGAAGGUGUACCCAACAGUCUCCUUUGGGUAUCCUAUGAAGACAUAUUUCUCCGAUUUGGGUUUGAGCUUAUCAGGAUGAAACUUUUUCUCAUAAGCAUCGCAACCCCAAACUUCAAGAAACGACAACUUUGGUUUCUUGCCUAACCAUAGUUCAUACGGUGUCGUCUCAACGGAUUUAGAUGGUGCCCUAUUUAACGUGAAUGCAGCUUUCUCUAAUGCAUGAUCCCAAAACGAUAUUGGUAAAUCGGUAAGAAACAUCAUAGAUUGUACUAUAUCCAAUAAAGUACGGUUAUGACGUUCGGACACACCAUUAUGCUGUGGUGUUCCAGGUGGCGUGAGUAGUGAAACUAUUUCACAUUGUUUUAACUGAAGACCAAACUCGUAACUCAAAUACUCUUUUCCACGAUCAGAUCGUAGAAACUUUAUUUUCUUGUUACGAUGAUUUUCCACUUCACUCUGAAAUUAUAUGAACUUUUCAAAUGUAUCAGACUUCUAUUUCAUUAAGUAGAUAUACCCAUAUCUGCUCAAAUCAUCUGUGAAGGUUUAGAAAAUAAUGAUACCCGCUGCAAGCCUUAAAUAUUCAUCGGACCACAUACAUUUGUAUGUAUGAUUUCCAACAAAUCUGUUGCUUGCUCCAUUGUUCCGGAGAACGGCGUUUUAGUCAUCUUGCCCAAAAGGCAUGGUUCGCAAGCAUCAAGUGAUUCCGAAAGCCCAUCAGCAUGGAGUUUCUUCAUGUGCUUUAUACCAAUAUGACCUAAACGGCAGUGCCACAAAUAAGUUGCACUAUCAUUAUUAACUUUGCAUCUUUUGGUUUCAAUAUUAUGAAUAUGUGUAUCACUACGAUCGAGAUCCAACGAACUUGUUUCAUUGGGUGUAUGACCAUCGAAGGUUUUAUUCAUGUAAACAGAACAACAAUUAUUCUCUGACUUUAAUGAAUAACCGUAUUGCAAUAAACAUGAUCAAAUCAUAUUCAUGCUCAACCAAAUAACACUUAUUUAAGUUCAACACUAAUCCCGAAAGUAUAGGGGAGUGUGUGAUGAUGAUCAUAUCAAUCUUGGAACUACUUCCAACACACAUCGUCACUUCACCCUUAACUAGUCUUUGUUUAUUCUGCAACUCCUGUUUCGAGUUACUACUCUUAGCAACUGAACCAAUAUCAAAUACUGAGGGGUUGCUAUAAACACUAGUAAAGCACACAUCAAUAACAUGUAUAUCAAAUAUACUUUUGUUCACUUUGCCAUCCUUCUUAUCCGCCAAAUACUUGGGGCAGUUCCGCUUCCAGUGACCAGUCCCUUUGCAGUAGAAGCACUUAGUCUCAGGCUUAGGACCAAACUUCGGCUUCUUCACUUGAGCAGCAACUUGCUUGCCGUUCUUCUUGAAGUUCCCCUUCUUCCCUUUGCCCUUUUCUUGAAACUAGUGAUCCUGUCAACCAUCAACACUUGAUGUUUUUCUUGAUUUCGACCUUCGUUGAUUUCAGCAUCACGAAGAGCUUGGGAGUUGUUUCCGUUAUCCCUUGCAUAUUAUAGUUCAUCACGAAGUUCUACUAACUUGGUGAUGGUGACUAGAGAAUUUUGUCAAUCACUAUCUUAUCUGGAAGAUUAACUCCCACUUGAUUCAAGCGAUUGUAGUACUCAGAUAAUCUGGGCACAUGCUCACUAGUUGAGCGAUUCUCCCCCAUCUUUCAGCUAUAGAACUUGUUGGAGACUUCAUAUCUCUCAACUCGGGUAUUUACUUGAAAUAUUAACUUCAGCUUCUGGAACAUCUCAUAUGGUCCAUGACGCUCAGAACGUCUUUGAAGUCCCGAUUCUAAGCCAUUAAGCAUGGUGCACUAAACUAUCAAGUAGUCAUCAUAUUGGGCUAGCCAAACGUUCAUAACGUCGGCAUCUGCUCCUGCAAUAGGUCUGUCACCUAGCGGUGCAUCAAGGACAUAAUUCCUCUAUGCAGCAAUGAGGAUAAAACUCAGAUCACGGAUCCAAUCCGCAUCAUUGCUACUAACAUCUUUCAACACAAUUUUCUCUAGGGACAUGUCAAAAUAAACACAGGGAAGCAACAACGCGAGCUAUUGAUCUACAACAUAAUUUGCAAAAUACUACCAGGACUAAGUUCAUGAUAAAUUUAAGUUCAAUUAAUCAUAUUACUUAAGAACUCCCACUUAGAUAGAUAUCCCUCUAAUCCUCUAAGUGAUCACGUGAUCCAAAUCAACUAAACCAUAACCGAUCAUCACGUGAGAUGGAGUAGUUUUCAAUGGUGAACAUCGUCAUGUUGAUCAUAUCUACUAUAUGAUUCACGCUCGACCUUUCGGUCUCUGUGUUCCGAGGCCAUAUCUGCAUAUGCUAGGCUCGUCAAGUUUAACCUGAGUAUUCUGCGUGUGCAAAACUGGCUUGCACCCGUUGUAGAUGGACGUAGAGCUUAUCACACCCGAUCAUCACGUGGUGUCUGGGCACGACGAACUUUGGCAACGGUGCAUACUCAGGGAGAACACUUCUUGAUAAUUCAGUGAGAGAUCAUCUUAUAAUGCUACCGUCAAUCAAAGCAAGAUAAGAUGCAUAAAAAGAUAAACAUCAUAUGUAAUCAAAAUAUGUGACAUGAUAUGGCCAUCAUCAUCUUGCUUCUUUGAUCUCCAUCUCCAAAGUACUGUCAUGAUCUAUAUCGUCACCGGCAUGACACCAUGAUCUCCAUCAUCUUGAUCUAUAUCAAUGUGUCGUCGUGUGGUCGUCUCACCAACAAUUGCUCUUGCAACUAUUGCUAUCGCAUAGCGAUAAAGUAAAGCAAUUACUGGACGCUUGCAUCUCAUGAAAUAGAGAGACAACCAUAAGGAUUUUGUCAGUUGCUGAUAACUUCAACAAAACAUGAUCAUCUUAUACAACAACUUAUAACUCAUCACGUUUUGACCAUAUCACAUCACAACAUGCCCUGCAAAAACAAGUUAGACGUCCUCUACUUUGUUGUUGCAAAUUUUACGUGGCUGCUACGGGCUUAGCAAGAACCAAUCUUACCUACGCAUCAAAACCACAACGAUAGUUUGUCAAAUAGACUCCGUUUUAACCUUCGCAAGGACCGGGCGUAGCCACACUCGGUUCAACUAAAGUUGGAGAAACAGUCACCCGCAAGUCACCUAUGUGCAAAGCACGUCGGGGAAACCGGUCUCGCGUAAGCGUACGCGUAAUGUCGGUCCGGGCCGCUUCAUCCAACAAUACCGCGGAACCAAAGUAUGACAUGCUGGUAGGCAGUAUGACUUAUAUCGCCCACAACUCACUUGUGUUCUACUCGUGCAUAUAACAUCAAACCAUAAAACCUAGGCUCGGAUGCCACUGUUGGGGAACGUAGUAAUUUCAAAAAUUUCCUACGCACACGCAAGAUCAUGGUGAUGCAUAGCAACGAGGGGGAGAGUCUGAUCUACGUACCCUUGUAGAUCGCAACGGAAGCGUUGACACAACGUAGAGGAAGUAGUCGUACGUCUUCUUCCUGAUCCGACCGAUCCAAGCACCGUUACUCCGGCACCUCCGAGUUCUUAGCACACGUUCAGCUCGAUGACGAUCCUCGGGCUCCGAUCCAGCAAAGCGUCGAGGAAGAGUUCCGUCAGCAUGACGGCGUGGUGACGAUCUUGAUGUACUACCGAUGUAGGGCUUCGCCUAAGCACUACAACGGUAUGAUCGAGGUGGAAUUUGGUGGCAGGGGGCACCGCACACGGCUAAGGAACGAUCUCAAGGAUCAACUUGUGUGUCUAUGGGGUGCCCCCUGCCCCUGUAUAUAAAGGAUGGAGGAGGAGGAGGCCGGCCAAGGCAAAGGUGCGGCCAGGAUAGGGAGUCCUACUAGGACUCCAAGUCCUAGUAGGAGUCCACCAAAAGGGGAGGAAGGGAGAAGGAAUAGGAGGAGAAGGAGAGGUGGCCGGCCCCCUUUUCCCUAGUCCAAUUCGGACCAAAGGGGAGGGGGGCGCAGCAGCCUUUUCCUCUUCCCACUAAAGCCCAUCAAGGCCCAUUACUUCUCCCGUAACUACCCGGUACUCCGAAAAAUACCCGAAUCACUCCGAACCUUUCCGAUGUCCAAAUAUAGUCGUUCAAUAUAUCGAUCUUUACGUCUCGACCAUUUCAAGACUCCUCGUCAUGUCCCCGAUCUCAUCCGGGACUCCGAACUCCUUCGGUACAUCAAUACUCAUAAACUCAUAAUUUAACUGUCAUGGAAACCUUAAGCGUGCGGACCCUACGGUUCGAGAACAAUGUAGACAUGACCGAGACACGUCUCCGGUCAAUAACCAAUAGCGGGACCUGGAUGCCCAUAUUGGCUCCUACAUAUUCUACGAAGAUCUUUAUCGGUCAGACCGCAUAACAACAUACGUUGUUCCCUUUGUCAUCGGUAUGUUACUUGCCCGAGAUUCGAUCGUUGGUAUCCAAUACCUAGUUCAAUCUCGUUACCGGCAAGUCUCUUUACUCGUUCUAUAAUACAUCAUCCCACAACUAACUCAUUAGUUGCAAUGCUUGCAAGGCUUAAGUGAUGUGCAUUACCGAGAGGGCCCAGAGAUACCUCUCCGACAAUCGGAGUGACAAAUCCUAAUCUCGAAAUACGCCAACCCAACAUCUUCCUUUGGAGACACCUGUAAUGCUCCUUUAUAAUCACCCAGUUACGUUGUGACGUUUGGUAGCACCCAAAGUGUUCCUCCGGCAAACGGGAGUUGCAUAAUCUCAUAGUCAUAGGAACAUGUAUAAGUCAUGAAGAAAGCAAUAGCAACAUACUAAACGAUCGGGUGCUAAGCUAAUGGAAUGGGUCAUGUCAAUCAGAUCAUUCAACUAAUGAUGUGACCUCGUUAAUCAAAUAACAACUCUUUUGUCCAUGGUUAGGAAACAUAACCAUCUUUGAUUAAUGAGCUAGUCAAGUAGAGGCAUACUAGUGACACUUUGUUUGUCUAUGUAUUCACACAUGUAUUAUGUUUCCCGUUAAUACAAUUCUAGCAUGAAUAAUAAACAUUUAUCUUGUGCUUGUGAUCUCCAUCUCCGAAGCACCUUCAUGAUCACCAUCGUCACCGGCGCGACACCUUGAUCUCCAUCGUAGCAUCGUUGUCGUCUCGCCAAUCUUAUGCUUCCACGACUAUCGCUACCGCUUAGUGAUAAAGUAAAGCAUUACAACGCGAUUGCAUUGCAUACAAUAAAGCGACAACCAUAUGGCUCCUGCCAGUUGCCGAUAACUUGGUUACAAAACAUGAUCAUCUCAUACAAUAAAAUUUAGCAUCAUGUCUUGACCAUAUCACAUCACAACAUGCCCUGCAAAAACAAGUUAGACGUCCUCUACUUUGUUGUUGCAUGUUUUACGUGGCUGCUACAGGCUUAAGCAAGAACCAAUCUUACCUAUGCAUCAAAACCACAACGAUAGUUUGUCAAGUUGAUGCCGUUUUAACCUUCGCAAGGACCGGGCGUAGCCACACUCGGUUCAACUAAAGUUGGAGAAACAGUCACCCGCAAGCCACCUUUGUGCAAAGCACGUCGGGAGAACCGGUCUCGCGUAAGCGUACGCGUAAUGUCGGUCUGGGCCGCUUCAUCCAACAAUACCGCCGAACCAAAGUAUGACAUGCUGGUAGGCAGUAUGACUUAUAUCGCCCACAACUCACUUGUGUUCUACUCAUGCAUAUAACAUCAAACCAUAAAACCUAGGCUCUGAUACCACUGUUGGGGAACGUAGCAAUUUCAAAAAAUUUCUACGCACACGCAAGAUCAUGGUGAUGCAUAGCAACAAGAGGGGAGAGUGUUGUCUAGAAGCGUUGACACAACGUAGAGGAAGUAGUCGUACGUCUUCCCGAUCCGACCGAUCCAAGCACCGUUACUCCGGCACCUCCGAGUUCUUAGCACACGUACAACUCGAUGACGCUCCCCGGGCUCCGAUCUAGCAAAGCUUCGGGGAUGAGUUCCGUCAGCACAACGGCGUGGUGACGAUGAUGAUGUUCUACCGACGCAGGGCUUCGCCUAAGCACUACAACGAUAUGACCGAGGUGGAAUAUGGUGGAAGGGGGCACCGCACACGGCUAAGGAACGAUCACGUUGAUCAAUUGUGUGUUCUAGGGUGCCCCCUUGCCUCCGUAUAUAAAGGAUCCAAGGGAGAGGGGUUCGGCCGGCCCUAUGGAGGCGCAGGAGGAGUCCUACUCCUAUCGGGAGUAGGACUCCCCCCCUUUUCCUUGUCCAAGUAGGAUUGGUGGAGAAGAAUGGGAAAGAGGGGGGCGCCGCCCCUCCCUCCUUGUCCAAUUCGGACUAGGGGGAGAGGGGGCGUGCGGCCUGCCCUGGCAGCCCCUUCCUCUUCUCCACUUUAGGCCCAUGAGGCCCAUUAACCCCCCGGGGGGUUCCGGUAACCCCCCGGUGCUCCGAUUUUAUCCGAAACUUCAUCGGAACCCUUCCGGUGUCCGAAUAUAGUCAUCCAAUAUAUCAAUCUUUAUGUCUUGACAAUUUUGAGACUCCUCGUCAUGUCCGUGAUCACAUCCGGGACUCCGAACUAACUUCGGUACAUCAAAAUGUAUAAACUUAUAAUAACUGCCAUCGUAACGUUAAGCGUGCGGACCCUACGGUUCGAGAACAAUGUAGACAUGGCCGAGACACGUCUCCGGUCAAUAACCAAUAGCGGGACCUGGAUGCCCAUAUUGGCUCCUACAUAUUCUACGAAGAUCUUUAUCGGUCAGACCGCAUAACAACAUACGUUGUUCCCUUUGUCAUCGGUAUGUUACUUGCCCGAGAUUCGAUCGUCCGUAUCCAAUACCUAGUUCAAUCUCGUUACCAGCAAGUCUCUUUACUCGUUCCGUAAUACAUCAUCUCGCAACUAACUCAUUAGUUGUAAUGCUUGCAAGGCUUAUGUGAUGUGCAUUACCGAGAGGGCCCAGAGAUACCUCUCCGACAAUCGGAGUGACAAAUCCUAAUCUCGAAAUACGCCAACCCAACAUCUACCUUUGGAUACAUCUUUAGAGCACCUUUAUAAUCACCCAGUUAUGUUGUGACGUUUGGUAGCACACAAAGUGUUCCUCCGGCAAACGGGAGUUGCAUAAUCUCAUAGUCAUAGGAACAUGUAUAAGUCAUGAAGAAAGCAAUAGCAACAUACUAAACGAUCGGGUGCUAAGCUAAUGGAAUGGGUCAUGUCAAUCAGAUCAUUCAACUAAUGAUGUGAUCUCGUUAAUCAAAUAACAACUCUUUGUUCAUGGUUAGGAAACAUAACCAUCUUUGAUUAACGAGCUAGUCAAGUAGAGGCAUACUAGUGACACUUUGUUUGUCUAUGCAUUCACACAUGUAUUAUGUUUCCGGUUAAUACUAUUAUAGCAUGAAUAAUAAACAUUUAUCAUGACAUAAGGAAAUAAAUAAUAACUUUGUUAUUGCCUCUAGGGCAUAUUUCCUUCACUUAGGGCCUUGGAUGAGAACUGGCAUCAUAAUGAACUUCCGCUUCAUGCACAUCCAAGGAGGAAGGUUAUACAUACAUAGAGUCACGGGCCAGGUGCUGUGAUUGCUGCUCUGCUCCCCUAUAGGAUUAAUGCCAUCCAUGCUUAAAGCAAACCAUACAUUCCAUGGGUCGUUUGCAAACUCAUCCCAGUACUUUCUCUCGAUUUUUCUCCACUGCGACCCGUCAGCGGGUGCUCUCAAUUUUCCGUCUUUCUUCCGGUCCUCACUGUGCCAUCGCAUCAACUUGGCAUGCUCUUCGUUUUUGAAUAGACGUUUCAACCGUGGUAUUAUAGGAGCAUACCACAUCACCUUCGCAGGAACCCUCUUCUUGGGGGGCUCACCGUCAACGUCACCAGGGUCAUCUCGUCUGAUCUUAUACCGCAAUGCACCGCAUACCGGGCAUGCAUUCAGAUCCUUGUAUGCACCGCGGUAGAGGAUGCAGUCAUUAGGGCAUGCAUGUAUCUUCUCCACCUCCAAUCCUAGAGGGCAUACGACUUUCUUUGCUGCGUAUGUACUGUCGGGCAAUUCGUUAUCCUUUGGAAGAUUCUUCUUCAAUAUUUUCAGUAGCUUCUCAAAUCCUUUGUCAGCCACAGCAUUCUCUGCCUUCCACUGCAGCAAUUCCAGUACGGUACCGAGCUUUGUGUUGCCAUCUUCGCAAUUGGGCUACAACCCUUUUUUGUGAUCCUCUAACAUGCGAUCGAACUUCAGCUUCUCCUUUUGACUUUCGCAUUGCGUCCUUGCAUCGACAAUGACCCGGCGGAGAUCAUCAUCAUCGGGCAGAUCGUCUGGUUCCUCUUGAUCUUCAGCAGCUUCACCCGUUGCAGCAUCAUUGGGCACAUCGUCUGUUUCCUCUUGAUCUUCACCAGCUCCCUCCAUUGCAGCAUAACCGUAUUCAGGGGGCACAUAGUUGUCAUCGUACUCUUCUUCUUUGCCAUCUUCCAUCAUAACACCUAUUUCUCCGUGCCUCGUCCAAACAUUAUAGUGUGGCAUGAAACCCUUGUAAAGAAGGAGGGGGUGAAGGAUUUUCCGGUUAGAGUAAUACCUCGUAUUCCCACAUUCAGUGCAUGGACAACACAUAAAACCAUUCUGCUUCUUUGCCUCAGCCGCACCGAGAAACUCAUGCACGCCCUUAAUGUACCCGGAGGUGUGUCUGUCACCGUACAUCCAUUGCCAGUUCAUCUACGUGCAUUAUAUAUAAUUAAGUGUCCAAAUUAAUAGAAGUUCAUCAUCACAUUAAAACCAAAGUACAUACAUAGUUCUCAUCUAACAACAUAUAGCUCUCCAGAGCAUCUAAUUAAUUAAACCAUACAUUGAAACUAUGUAAAACAUUUCAAUGCGAAAACAAAUGCGAUCAUAAUUGCAACCAAGGUAACAAUUGAUCCAACGGCAUAAUGAUACCAAGCCUCGGUAUGAACGACAUAUUUUCUAAUCUUUCUAAUCUUCAAGCGCAUUGCAUCCAUCUUGAUCCUGUGAUCAUAGACGACAUCCGCAACAUGCAACUCCAAUAUCAUCUUCUCCUCCUCAAUUUUUUUAUUUUUUCCUCCAACAAAUAGUUUUCUUCUUCAACUAAAUUUAGCCUCUCGGCAAUAGGGUCGGUUGGCAUUUCCGAUUCACAUACAUCCUACAUAAAUAAAAUCUAUGUCACGUUGAUCGGCAUAAUUUUCAUAAACAAUAAAUGAACCAAUAGUUAUAAAGAUAAUAUAUAUACCACAUUCGAAUCAUAGACAGGACGAGGGCGACGGGGGCGGAUACCAAAACCAUCGCACUAUAUAAGAUGCAAUAAUAAAAGUAAGAAAAUAAUACAAGUAUCUAUGUAAACAUACAAGUAAGAAUAUUUUUCCUUUCAGAAAGAAGAUAAGAACAAGAGGCUCACCAUGGUGGUGCCGGCAAGGCCCACCUUGGUCCAUGCGGGGAUGCACAAAAUAAGCUAUGUGCGGCCCAUGCGGGGAAUUUUGGUUACGCAUGGCCCAUACAUAUGGUGAUCCAGCCGUACGUGACCAAAUAGGAUGGACGGACAAACGAAAACGGACAAAAAUUAGGGACCAACCAAUUAGUACCACCUCGCGUAUAUGUUUUAUAUUUAAACUGAAAGCGUAAAUUUUCAUGAAAAGAAAUGUACUGUGACGGUGAACCCGACAAAGUCAAUCCGUGCUUUAUUAUUAGGGAAAGAUAUACUAAUUGGAGGCACCUUUGGAGCGUCUACGUUAAUCCACGUCAUUAAGAUUAAUAUAGCCGUUUGAUAUUAAAUUUAAUGGUUAAGAUAUGCUAGAAGACUAUGCCUUAUUAUAGAAGAAAACAACAUGUACGUAGGGAUGAAAUCCACGCAUACAAAAAAAAACUCAUGUAAAGAAAAAUCAAUUCUCACCACAUAGAUGAAACUCAUUAAACUUGCACAUGCAAAAAAAGUCCUAAGCUCCCACGUCCAUGAAAGAUUAGACAUGCACAUAAAAAAAGAGUCCUAAAUGCCCACGCCCAGGUUCCAAGAAAAAGUACGUGCCUACUCCUUGCAAAAAGAGGACGCGUGGCAAAACUAAAAAAUAUGAAUAUAAUCAUCUCAAUCUCUUUCUAAUAAUAAAAUAUGAAUUGAUUUUGUCAGGUUCGUCGUCACAAUACACUUUUUCCUGUAAAUUUACGCUUUCACUUUGAAUUUAAAACAUAUAGGUGAGGUGGUACUAAAAAACUGUUCAUUGGUCGCGUACGUCAAUUAGUAUAAGUCGCUUUUUUUAGUCCCUCCGGCUCGCUAGACUGGGCCGUGUUGAUCAUUCCCGUGAUGACUGAACUGGGCCUGGUCAAAAAGAAAAAAAACGAUGCAAAAAAUAAUUCCCCAUGAGCUUCGAACCAAGACGAAGGCCCUCAGUCACAAAGGAGAACGCCAACUAGAUUGCUCUAUUUUGUUCUGCCAAAUUGUGUCCCUGUAGAUAUAAUAGUCCCACAUCGCUUCUUUGCACUGUAUCUUAUCGAUUUUUAUACAUCGGCGGACUUGUCCUAGCAGAAGUUAAUUGGAAGAGGAAGCAAGGAAUAAAGAACGAACGCAGGAGGAAUUUGGCCAGAAGAAACAAGGUCGGGGAGCGUGAGGUUUAUGGUGAAUAUUCAGAGAACGGCAGCUGCAUUGUUCGAAUUUAGUCUAUCUUUGGACAUGUCUUUUCCGGGGAUUCGACACCAUGUUUUGUGCGCGAAUGGUUUUAUUAGGGUUUUUGACUGUUCCAAGUUAGAAGAGGCCAGAGUUUUCUCUGGUUCUUCAGUGGCCUGAAGCAACCAUGCUUACGCUUUUUUUUUUCAACCAUUCAUUGCCCAUUUUCAUUAAUUUCUUAAAGAAAAUACAUCAACCGUCCUUGCAGAAAGAACGAGGCAGCUUCACAGCUGGAAAUCAAGAGUGCGGUGUCCAGUUUUACGGGGAAAAGAAUUCUAUGAGACCAGGUCUCACGCGAGACCCAUCCUAAUGAAUGCCACGUGCUAUCCAUCAGAACGGGUCUCACCUGCUAACCGUGAGACUUGGUCUCAUAUAUUUUUUUUCCGUUUUACGGGGAAGCAUCAUCAGAAAUCUAGCAAAUCAUUCGCAUUAUUCUCUCACAUACAGUACAGAUCCUUCGGAUCGCCACAUCACAGCUGGACUUCAUUGCUUUGGGUGUCUAAUUAAGGGCUUGUUCGGUUAAUCCUCUCGCGAAGAGGAUUGGAGGGGAUUGGCAAGGAUUGGUUCGUAUUUUGACUUCUAAGAGGUUUAAGUCCUCCUCAAACCCCUUCAAUCCAUUCGGAUUCACACGCAACCAAACAAGGCCUAAACGGGAUCCGCAUCUGAACUAUUAAGCAGCAAAUGAUAGUGUGCGUGAAACAGGUAGGCAAUGUCAAUGAGGACAAACUGUGAUGAUAUCGUUUGAAAACUCAGCUGUCGUCCGUAGUGUUUGGCAUGUGACAGAUAGAUCCUGUUGAUUGUCUAACGAAAGCCAACGGUGAUGUCAAACUAGACUAUUUUAACAUAGUCGGUAAGACAAAAAUGGGAAACAUAUGUAUAUAUGACUACCGAGAACACGACAUCCAUUGUAUCUCGAUUAAGCAUCUUCAAAUAUUAUUCCUGUCGUGAUAUUGACAACAUUAUUAGUUUGUACUUGAAUGAAUAGUCAAGGAACUUUUGAGUGUUCCAAGUUAAACAUCCAAAUUUGUGUCGCAUUUCAGUAUGGGAGGCGCGUAUGACUCUCAAGUUUUUCCGAAUUUGAGUAAUACGGGUCAACUAUUUGCAAAAAUAAAAUAAAAACAUGUUAUCUAGCAUAUGUUUUUACCGUGUUAACACAUUCACAAUUAUUCCAUUUUGAAAAAAGGUACCUAGGUGGUAAAUGAACUACAAACCUUGCUCGACAUAUAUCGAGAAAUAUGUAUUGACAUACACAACAGAGAAAAUAAAUCAAAAUACAUUGCGCAGAACAUUGACAAUAAAUUAGUUGGUGAAAUUAGACAAUUUAGUUGGUGAACUUAGAAAAUUGUUACAUAAGGCUCCAACUUAAUUUCUCAGCAGUUGGAUCAGUUUUUUUUUUUGAGGACCAUGGAAAUACUGAAACCAUGGUUGAUACAAACUCCCCUCUCACACCUAAACUUUGAGCUAGAUAUUUCCUUUUAGUGAGUUUAGCUACUAAUUUUAAAGGGGUUCGCUAAAUCUCAGUCAAUUGAGAUUUAAUGUAGUCUCAAUCACCUUUCCAAGCCGUUGAAUACAUGCACACUAAGAUUAUGUGCUAGGAAACUUUUCUUUGUUAUUGUGAGGUGGAACGGAAAGAGAUGUGUGUGUGCCUUUCUGGACUAUUCGAAGUGUGCGUGUUUUUCCGAGGAAAGAGCCUACAAUCUACACGAGAAGCUUGUGUUUGGGCCAAGUCCAAACAUAAUAUAAUUUGUCAAACCAAACAACCAACAUUUUCUAAAACCGAAAUCAACAUAGCAAAAACAUGUUUGCUUUCGAAUAUUAAUAAAUAACUGUAUAUAAAUAAUCCCACUUCAAUGCACCACUCCUCUCACACCCGGUGAUAGUGUGAUGUUCGUUGAGGCAACAUCGAAGGACAUGAAUGUAGUUUCAUUAAUCUUUUUCCGAAUUGUGUACACCAAAAAUUGUAUCAUCAUUAACGACGGUGGCAAAAAUGAAAAGUGGCAACAUGAACGAGUCACUGAAAACAUGCGAAGACUUUCUCCUUCCGGUGCAAUGCACGACACAUUAAAUGAUGCAUACAAAGGUUAAAGGGAACCUUCUUUUGAGAAACAAAGACAAACACAGACUCACAAACACGUACAUACAUGAACACCUAGAGAGACUGAGCUGACAAGUCUUGAGAUUGAUGAACACACCACAAGUGUCUCGCUUCGACGCGAACGUCACCAUGCACUGAAAAAAUAUUUCACCUUUGUGAAACAUGAAAUUAAGCGUCAAAGUUAGGUUUUAAUUCUUGCUCUAUUGGGUAUCACCGCCCUGCAAACCAUCCAAUCAGAGAUUGGUUCUCAGGGUUAAAGCGAAACUAACCAAUACAUUUAUUUGAUAUGAAAAAAUGAACCCUUCCAAACCAAGCAAACAACUAUCUCUAAGAAAUCCAACAUAGCAACAAUGCUUUGUAUUCAAAUGUUUUGGAAAUUCUAAAAAAAAACUUUUGGAUUAGUUUUUAAACUCUCGGUUAGUAUAGAACAUUCCAAUGUUUGUAUGUUGCACUAAAAAUAAAUGCACCACUCUUUCACCCGGUGGUAGUGCUAAGCUAAAGGAGUGCCAUCAAAGGACACCACUAUGACUAUCUUAACUCUACUCCAUGAUGCGGACACCAAUAAUCAUUUUUAUUUACCAACACGAAGGCGUUUUUUUAAGAUAGUGAGUGUUUCUAAAUGUUCUUGGUUUCAAAAAAUAUAUUCAUGUUUUAAAUAUGUUUAAACUUUUGAAGAAAUGCUGAAAAUUCCUAAAAAAUGGUUCCAAUUAAAAACCAGCUAUAAUUGUUCAAAAAAUCAUUAAAAAAAAUCAUGAAAUCGCUUGUUUAUAUAAUGUUCGACUUCAAAAAAUAUUCCAAUUCUAGUAAGAAAUUAAAAAAUAGUCGAUUUCUUAAAAAAUAAAGAAAUAUUUGUGUUGUCUUUCAAAAAGCAAAAUAUAUACCGAUUCACAUACUAUUCCAUGCACAACUAUUCUUCCAACAGAUGUGGGAAGUUAGGUUGGUUCUUCAUGUACACACUUCAAGCUCCGAACAAAAAUUAGAGUUUAACAUUAUUACUCUGGUUUAUCAGCCUUUGAUACAAGAAAUGGCACAUGAAGCGCACUUUUAUUUGCCCGUUGCAACGCACGGGCAUUUGUACUAGUAAAUAUCAAUUGAAGGAAUAUCAUUCUGCAAAGGCAGAUUCUUGAAUAGGAUUGUUUCACAACUGCAUCCAUCAAUUUUAAAGUUUACUAUCUAAUAUGAUGCUAGAUAGAUAAAGCCUCAAUUAAGUAUAACAUUGUGUUUGUUGGUUAAGUUAGGAGCACUUACUAAUGUACUAAAAGAGAAAUAUAUAUUAUAUAUGGUUUGAGUACCAUUGUAGUAGUGGUGCAUAUACAUACGCGCACCACCUACUAUAUAUCGAAAUAAUUCAUACUCGCUUUCUCCCUUAUAUAUAUAGUAGGUGGUGUCAAAUUCUUGCUAAUUUGACAUGAAGGCUUCAUUCAGACCAGUGAUGAUACUUUGCGCAACAUAAAUGGGAAAGUAGAGGCACUCUUCCAUAUAAUGAAGUUUAUAAUAUAUGUGUUUAUAUUGUACUAUAAUUGUUUGAAUAACUUACCAUAUGUUCAGAUGUAUGAUAUCUGUAAUUUAAGCGCUUGAAUUUUACAUAUAAAUAUAAUUUUAUUAAUAAAUAUGUACCCAUAUAAUAGCUAGGCCGUGUAGUUGCACGGGUAGAUGACUAGUGAUUACAAUCUUGUUUGUGAGCAAGUCAAGAUUAUCUAGUUUACACGUAACAACUUGUAGAACAUUACAAAAAUUAUGCUUGCUAAUAACUUCUAGAACACUACAACACUUGACAUGUAAAAGGAAUUUGAUGAGUCAUGGCCUACUAAAGCAAGUUACAUUACUACUCUUAUCUAUCUUAACAGACCACACAAGAUUACAAACUAAGUACCGUGACAGCCAUGCUUAUCUAAUUUAUGCGUAACAAUUUGCGGAAAAUUACAAAUUUAGUUUUAGAAAAAUAGGCAAUCUAGAUUAGUGUUUGAGCUGUAAUGUGAAUAAGAUGAGUCGUGCGUCUUGUCACACCUUUUUGGUGGUGGAAUGAUAGUGCAACAACAAGGAACUUUAAUGACCAGUCCAAGAAUACACUUGUAAGUAGUGCCACCAAACAGAACAUACCAAAUUAUGAUUUUGAGAAGAAUCCAAGCACUUUCCACACAAGCAAAUGCCAAUUGUGAAAGAGAUCAUUCCAUGGCAGCUAUAAAUAGCCCCAUAGCAUGACGCUCAUCCUUCCUCAUCCAUCAUUCUCAUAAGUAGAGUGCAUCAUUUAAGCCAAGCAAGCUGUGGUCAAUACAAAUCCACCAUGAAGACCUUUCUCAUCCUUUCCCUCCUUGCUAUCGUGGCAACCACCGCCACAACUGCAUUUAGAAUUCUAGUGCCACAAUUGCAGCCACAAAAUCCAUCUUAGCAACAACCACAAGAGCAAGUUCCAUUGGUACAACAACAGCAAUUUCUAGGGCAGCAACAACCAUUUCCACCACAACAACCAUAUCCACAGCCGCAACCAUUUCCAUCACAACAACCAUAUCUGCAGCUGCAACCAUUUCCGCAGCCGCAACCACCAUAUUCGCAGCCGCAACCAUUUCGACCACAAUAACCAUAUCUCCACAACCGCAACCACAGUAUUCGCAACCACAAUAACCAAUUUCGCAGCAGCAACAACAACAACAACAACAACAACAACAACAAAUCCUUCAACAAAUUUUGCAACAACAACUGAUUCCAUGCAUGGAUGUUGUAUUGCAGCAACACAACAUAGCGCAUGGAAGAUCACAAGUUUUGCAACAAAGUAGUUACCAGCUGUUGCAAGAAUUGUGUUUUCAGCACCUAUGACAGAUCCCUGAGCAGUCGCAGUGCCAAGCCAUCCACAAUGUUGUCCAUGCUAUUAUUCUGCAUCAACAACAAAAACAACAACAACAACAACAACAAAAACAACAACCAUCGAGCCAGGUCUCCUUCCAACAGCCCCAGCAACAAUAUCCAUCAGGCCAGGGCUCCUUCCGGCCAUCUCUGCAAAAUCCACAGGCCCAGGGCUCGGUCCAGCCUCAACAGCUGCCCAGUUCGAGGAAAUAAGGAACCUAGCGCUACAGACGCUACCUGCAAUGUGCAAUCUCUACAUCCCUCCAUAUUGCACCAUCGCGCCAUUUGGCAUCUUCGGUACUAACUGAGAAGAAAAUAACUCUAGUACUAGAUAUAUGAAACACCGUUUUCUUAGUCCAUGGUUUGGUCAUUGUAGCGGUGAAAAAAUAAAGUGACAUGCACUACCAUGUAAGAACUCGAACUAUACUAGUUCAAACUUGGGAAUAAAAGACAAACACAGGUCUUGUCUACAUAUUUAUGUUGCAUUUAUCUAAAGAUAACAAAAUGAGUCUAAAAUUUGAAUUAAAUUGAAGUAUUUUCUUGGACUUUCAAAUUGAGUAUUAUUAACGUAGUAAGGACUAUCCUCAUCCUUGGCCUGCCCCUAAUCAAUUAUUUCCAGAGAAGCAUUCAAUUCAUCAAUCAAUUACAUUGAUUUUUGUGGCUGGUACUUCUCCUCAACAUCAGUAUAUUCACCGUGGCUACUCCAAAUCGGCAAGAAUGAGGUACCGGUGCUCUGGAGCAGUGCCAACUAAUUGCUUCUCAUGUGAAGGGGUGCGGGCGCGGGAGAGGUAUUUCUGGUGGGCCAAGGGAGUAAGAAGCCACCGUGGGAGUGGUACAGACGCCCGUAAAGCCCCAUAGUUUCUUUUUGGUUUACAGGAAAAUGCACAUCCAUACCGGCCUGGGGAGUAUAGGACCGUAUUGGAUGGAAAACCAUGUCCGGAUGGUUGCGAGCGGUUUGAGGGUUAGCUUUUGUAACGCCCGGUUAGUUAUGCUAUAGCAAUUCCCUGCUAAUGAUGUCACGUCACCAAGAUUACUGUUGUUAUCCUCACAAUGAUUCAAUGCCAUUCUAAUUCAAAUUUAAAAUAAAGGCAAGCAUCAAAAGUUUUCAAACAUUAAAACUAAAAUCUUUGAGAGGUAACAAAUAAUGCAUAAGUAAUUAUGGUGGAGAAACCACACUUUAAUAAAAUGUUUAAAUACUCUAAAAUGAAAAAAACAGUGGCUUAAACUAUUAUUUAAAUGCUUUUAAAAUAGUAAAAAUGUUCUAACUAAAUUAAUUGGGUACCAACCUUUUGGUGGCAGUGGUAUAUUUAGUAGAACUAAUUUAGAUGCUAGUUAUAUGAUUUAGAAAAUUAGGGUCAAUUGAAAAAUAGGAUAAAACAGAGAAGGAAAGACAAAACAAAUAAAAGCAAAAGGGGGCAACCCCUCACUGGCCUUGGCCUAGCUGGCCACUGGGCUAGCUAGGUCGGCCCCGCCGCCUCCCUUAACCCCCUGUCGGUGUCGAAACCGGUGGAUGGUACCAUGAGUAGAUCUACCACGAGAUCGGAGAGGCUAAACCCUAGAGGCUAGCCUAUGAUAUGAUUGUAUGUGUCCUACGGACUAAAACCCUCCGGUUUAUAUAGACACCGGAGAGGGUUAGGGUUACACAAGGUCGGUUACAAAGGAGGAGAUAUCCAUAUCCGUAUUGCCUAGCUUGCCUGCCACGCCAAGUAGAGUCCCAUCCGGACACGGGACGAAGUCUUCAAUCUUGUAUCUUCAUAGUGCAACAGUCCGAAAAAGGAUAUAGUCCGGCUGUCCGGAGACCCCCUAAUCCAGGACUCCCUCAGUAGCCCCUGAACCAGGCUUCAAUGACGAUGAGUCUGGCGCGCAGUAUUGUCUUCGACAUUGCAAGGCGGGUUCCUCCUCCGAAUGCAUCACAGAAGAAUUUGAAUACGAGGAUAGUGUCCGACCCUGCAACAUAAGUUCCACAUAAUUCCAUACAGAGAAUAAUAUUUUCGCAAAUCUAAUUUGCUUACUUGUUUUGACAGUACGACAUUAUGUCAUGGCCCGGUGAUUAUUCGAACCGUUUCCUUUAACUAGCCCCGCACAUAACGCGAGGCAGUUUUUCGACAUGUCUUGUCAAAGCAGAGAUCGUGUCCCCUUAUUACUGGAUUCUCAUCAAUACGGGCGUGGGUAACCCAACCGCGCCAUCGAUUGCGGCACUUGGGGGAUGAGCUAUUUUUACCUGGCAAGUGGGGACGCUUAGUUUCGUCCGCCCAUAUAAAGGGAUAAGGAUUCACCUUUCUAUCCAUGCCUUCUUCCUCCUUUGCUCAUCCGUUUUUGCACACUCGAGCUCUAGCGCCCAAGUUCGCACUUCCCACCUCAACCUUCUCCAACCAUGUCCCGAGCGGGAGGCAGGUGGAUGGUAUCCUCCGUCACGGAUGGAGACAUCAAGAAGCUGAGGAGCGCCGGAUACCUGCCUGACGACAUCGCGCACCGGCUCCCAGAUGAGGGGCAGCUCACCCCCACCCCCAGGCCCCAUGAGAGGGUAGUGUUCCUCACCCAUUUCCUCCGCGGACUGGGAUUCCCUCUCCACCCAUUUGUCCCGGGGCUCAUGUUCUAUUACGACCUGGAUUUCCAUGAUCUGGCCCCGAACUUCAUCCUCAACAUCUCGGCGUUUAUCGUUGUGUGCGUGGCCUUCCUCCGCAUCAAGCCCCACUUCGGCUUAUGGUUGAAGACCUUUAAUGUCAAGCCGAAGGUUGUGGGCGACCGCCAGGCGGAGUGCGGAGGCGCCAUGGUGGGCAAGAUGCCCAACGUAACAUGGCUCGAGGGCUCUUUUGUGGAAACCAUAAAGGGGUGGCAAUCGGGUGGUUCUACAUCACCGAGCCGCGUGACCCUGCAUGGGCAGCGGCCCCCCGAGUUCUGAUCUGGCAUCCCCACGCGGCUCACCUCCUGGAAAGAGAAGGGCCUGUCCUGGGGUAGUUUGGAAGAGCUGACCAGACUCCAAACAUGUAUUCAAAACAUGGUGAACAAGAAGCUCAAACUCGUCAACGUGGUCCAGGUCAUGCUCCACCGCCGGAUCCUCCCGUGCCAAUAACGGGAGUUCAACUUGUGGGAGUACAACCCAGCGCAGCACCGAACUCUGAACAGGCUUUUCGACACAACUCACGAAGAUGCCUCGAGGGUGCUGUUCAAAAUCACCAAGGUCCCCCUCCCAUUACUGAGGAUCACGGAUUCAGCGUGAAGCGCCAAGCCAGUGCGGCAGGCUGCUUUACCUUUCACAGGCUACUUAUUUUUUAUAGAUUGACUCCAUGCGGGAUCUAAACUCCCGUACCUUUGACAGGACUGGCAGGAGAUGGCCGGACAGAUCGACUGUCCGGCUCCUAUGCCCGAAGGCCCAGCAGACGCUCUUCUAGCGAAGAUGCUGACUUCGGCUCCUUAUACGGUGCCGGAGAAGACCAAGAAGGACAAGGGAACCCGAAAGAGUUCCCGACGCCAGGCGUCGUCGGACUCACCGUCCGAUGACUCUGCGGCGCACUCCUCCCCCGAAGACGAGGAAGAGGAAGAAGACGCUCCCUCUCUGGCUGGGGGAGAUAAGAAAAGGAAGGCCGCCCCAACUGGGGGGGCGGAAGGGUCCAAGAAGGGAAGGAAUCUCCUUCCGGAUAGUUGCACCGCUGCCGACGAAGGCGAAGACGAGGGGUUGCCCAGGGCCAAGCCCCUGGGGAGAUCGUAAGUAUUCAGAUACCAGAGUAACUCAUAGCAUUCCUUUGUCGCACUGCUUUCCCUAACGUCAAACAUAAUUAUGCAGGUCGCCAUGAGCCAGUAUCGAUGUGUGACGCCCGGAUAAUCAUGCUACAGUAAUCCCACGCUAAUCAUGCCACGUCACCUCGGUUACUGUUGCUAAUCUAUCGUUAGGUCAAAGCUGGUCCAAAAUUCAAAUUCAAAGUUUGGUAAAUAAUAACAGUUUUCAAAAAUUAAAACAAAAAUGUUCGGUGAUUGCCGAAUAAUGCAUAGGUAAUUAUGGUGGAGAAACCACACUUUUAUAAAAUGUUUAAAUAAUCUAAAAUGAAUAAAACAGUAGAAAAACCAAAUCUAAAUGCUUUUAUAAAUAAAUAAAACACUAAACUAAAUUGUUUUGGGAUAAAGCCUUUUGUGGCAGUGGGUUUCGUGGUAUUACAAUUUUAGAGUUCAUUUUAAUACUAAGUAAGAAGUAUAAUUAAGAGAAACUAAAAUAAAGAACAGAAAAAAAAGAAUAAAUAAAAGGAAAAGAAAACACAAAACAGAAAAGAAAACUACCAAAAAAAUAUGGUAAAAGGAGACCCCCCCCACUGGACCCCUUGGCCCAACUGGGCCAUGGCCCAGCCGGCCACCCCCNNNNNNNNNNNNNNNNNNNNNNNNNNNNNNNNNNNNNNNNNNNNNNNNNNNNNNNNNNNNNNNNNNNNNNNNNNNNNNNNNNNNNNNNNNNNNNNNNNNNNNNNNNNNNNNNNNNNNNNNNNNNNNNNNNNNNNNNNNNNNNNNNNNNNNNNNNNNNNNNNNNNNNNNNNNNNNNNNNNNNNNNNNNNNNNNNNNNNNNNNNNNNNNNNNNNNNNNNNNNNNNNNNNNNNNNNNNNNNNNNNNNNNNNNNNNNNNNNNNNNNNNNNNNNNNNNNNNNNNNNNNNNNNNNNNNNNNNNNNNNNNNNNNNNNNNNNNNNNNNNNNNNNNNNNNNNNNNNNNNNNNNNNNNNNNNNNNNNNNNNNNNNNNNNNNNNNNNNNNNNNNNNNNNNNNNNNNNNNNNNNNNNNNNNNNNNNNNNNNNNNNNNNNNNNNNNNNNNNNNNNNNNNNNNNNNNNNNNNNNNNNNNNNNNNNNNNNNNNNNNNNNNNNNNNNNNNNNNNNNNNNNNNNNNNNNNNNNNNNNNNNNNNNNNNNNNNNNNNNNNNNNNNNNNNNNNNNNNNNNNNNNNNNNNNNNNNNNNNNNNNNNNNNNNNNNNNNNNNNNNNNNNNNNNNNNNNNNNNNNNNNNNNNNNNNNNNNNNNNNNNNNNNNNNNNNNNNNNNNNNNNNNNNNNNNNNNNNNNNNNNNNNNNNNNNNNNNNNNNNNNNNNNNNNNNNNNNNNNNNNNNNNNNNNNNNNNNNNNNNNNNNNNNNNNNNNNNNNNNNNNNNNNNNNNNNNNNNNNNNNNNNNNNNNNNNNNNNNNNNNNNNNNNNNNNNNNNNNNNNNNNNNNNNNNNNNNNNNNNNNNNNNNNNNNNNNNNNNNNNNNNNNNNNNNNNNNNNNNNNNNNNNNNNNNNNNNNNNNNNNNNNNNNNNNNNNNNNNNNNNNNNNNNNNNNNNNNNNNNNNNNNNNNNNNNNNNNNNNNNNNNNNNNNNNNNNGCCCCUCGGCGCCCGCUCGGCCCUCUCCUGGGUCGGGCGCCCGUAACGCCCAGCGCCCGUAACCCGCUAUGGCCCCCUGGGCAGUUGACAGAUGGGGCCCACGCCCCUGUCUUGUUAGAAAAAAAAACGAAAAGAAAAUGUAAUUAAAAAAAUGAAAAUAAGUAAUUAGUUAUUUAAUUAAUUAUGUAACUAAUUAAUUAAUUAAAUAAGUAAUUACUUAACUUAAUUAACUCCGUUUAGUACUUAAUUAACUUGAUUAGUUAAUUAAAAUUGUUAAUUAGUUGUUAGACUAUGACGAAUGGGACCCACACGUCAGUUUGACCCAGUCAACGCCCUGUUGACUGCUGACGUCAUGCUGACGUCAGCGUACACUAUUCUGGAUAAUGUUAAUUUAAUUAAUAAUUAAUAAAUUAGAAAAUGAUUUAAAAAUUUAAAAAUUAAUAUAAAUUAAACCGUAGCUCAGAUGAAAAAACUUUGUACAUGAAAGUUGCUCAGAACGACGAGACAAAUCUGGAUACACGGCCUGUUUGUUCGUCACGCAUCCCUAGCAUAGCAAACUCGCAACUUUCCCCUCCGGCUCCUCUGCCCGAAAACGCAAAACACCGGGGAUACUUUCCCGGAUGUCAUCCCCCUUCACCGGUAUCACCUAUUACCGCGUUAGGGCACCUCUAACGCCGUUACUUGUCAUGUCAUGCAUCACUAUGCAUAUGCUUGCUUAAAUAUUUAUUAUUUCUUCCCCCUCUUCUCUCGAUAGACACCGAGACCGACGCCGCUGCUACCCAGUACGACUACGCUGUUGACGACCCUCUUUCUUGCCAGAGCAACCAGGCAAGCGCCCCCCUUGAUCACCAGAUAUCGCCUACUCUCUUCUAUACUGCUUGCAUUAGAGUAGUGUAGCAUGUUACUGCUUUCCGUUAUUCCUAUCCUGAUGCAUAGCCUGUCCUUGCUACUACUGUUGUUACCAUUACCUGCUAUCCUACUGCUUAGUAUAGGAUGCUAGUGUUCCAUCAGUGGCCCUACACUCUUGUCCGUCUGCCAUGCUAUACUACUGGGCCGUGAUCACUUCGGGAGGUGAUCAUGGGCAUAUGCUAUAUACUUUACACAGUUACUUUACCUGUGGUACUGUUCGGAGAUGGGGGCUGAAGGGGCAGGUGGUUCCACCCAGGUAGUGGUGGGCCUGGGUUCCCGACGGCCCCCGACUGUUACUUUGUGGCGGAGCGACAGGGCAGGUUCAGACCACCUAGGAGAGAGGUGGGCCUGGCCCUGGUCGGCGUCCGCGGAUACUUAACACACUUAACGAGAUCUGGGUAUUUGAUCUGAGUCUGGCCAUUUGGUCUAUACGCACUAACCAUCUACGCGGGAGUAGUUAUGGGUAUCCCGACGUCGUGGUAUCAGCCGAAGCCUUCGUGACAUCAGCGACUAAGUGGCGCGUGCCGGAUUGGACCGUAAGCCUGCUCUUGUAUUAAGGGGGCUAGUUCUGCUUCCGGCCGCGUUCGCAACGUGCAGGUGUGCAAAGGGCGAUGGGCCCAGACCCCUGCGCCAUAGGAUUUAGACCAGCGUGCUGACCUCUCUGUUGGGCCUAGGUAGGGCUGCGACGUGUUGAUCUUCCGAGGCCGGGCAUGACCCAGAAAAGUGUGUCCGGCCAAAUGGGAUCGAGCGUGUUGGGGUAUGUGGUGCACCCCUGCAGGGAAGUUUAUCUAUUCGAAUAGCCGUGUCCCUCGGUAAAAGGACGACCCGGAGUUGUACUUUGACCUUAUGAUAACUAGAACCGGAUACUUAAUAAAACACACCCUUCCAAGUGCCAGAUACAACCGGUGAUCGCUCUCUCACAGGGCGACGAGGGGAGGAUCAUCGGUUAGGAUUAUGCUAUGCGAUGCUACUUGGAGGACUUCAGUCUACUCUCUUCUACAUGCUGCAAGACGGAGGUUACCAGAAGCGUAGUCUUCGAAAGGACUAGCUAUCCCCCUCUUAUUCCGGCAUUCUGCAGUUCAGUCCACAUAUGAUAGCCUUAUUCCAAUUGAUACCAAUGCAUACAUAUGUAGUGUAGCUCCUUGCUUGCGAGUACUUUGGAUGAGUACUCACGGUUGCUUUCUCCCUCUUUCCCCCCUAUCCCUUCUACCUGGUUGUCGCGACCAGAUGUUGGAGCUCAGGAGCCAGACGCCACCGUUGACGACGACUCCUACUACACCGGUGGUGCCUACUACUACGUGCUGUCCGCUGACGACGACCAGGAGUAGUUUAGGAGGAUCCCAGGCAAGAGGCCUGCGCCUCUUUCGAUCUAUAGCUCAGUUUGUGCUAGCCUUCUUAAGGCAAACUUGUUUAACUUAUGUCUGUACUCAGAUAUUGUUGCUUCCGCUGACUCGUCUAUGAUCGAGCUCUUGUAUUCGAGCCCUCGAGGUCCCUGGCUUGUAAUAUGAUGCUUGUAUGACUUAUUUUAUUUGUAGAGUUGUGUUGUGAUAUCUUUCUGUGAGUCCCUGAUCUUGAUCGUACACGUUUGCGUGUAUGAUUAGUGUACGGUCAAAUCGGGGGCGUCACACGAUGUAUCAUCGGACGGUUCCCUAGGCUCGUCGGACAUGGAUAGCGAUCCAGUCCCGACCCCCACCUCCCCUCAUCCUGCUGACGACGCCGAGGUGCUGUCUCAAGAGGCAUCGGGUCGAGGGGAGACAGUCCUGGAGGCACCUCAAGGCGACCUUCCGGACUCCGGGAGCCGAGGGGACGGGGCCCCUAAGAGCUUCGAGUUCGGCCCUCAGCCGAACACCGCGCUGGAACCUCCAGUGGUUCCGGGCUCGGUCAGGCGGCCUCCUUCUAAGAGGGGCAAGACACCUGUGCCGGUGACCUCUGUCUAUCCAGAGGCGCCGGACAAUCUGCUGGAAGCGCUUCGCAGCGCUUCCAUCGACGAGGAGCACCGCACUAUCAUGAGUGCGGCGAUCCAGAAAGUUUAGUCCGCCAAGAGCGGAUUGACUGAAGCCUGUGCCAGCCUUCUAACAGGCUUUGAGGUAAGUGUUUUAAAAUAUAGGAAAAAUACUACUGCAUAUAUAGUAGCCCCUGAUGCUUUGUUCGGUGUUCAGAAAGAAAAGCCGAACAGAGGAUCAAAUAAUAUCGCAGGACUCUAAUAUAAGUAUGUCAAUAUGCGUAUGCAAGCCUCACUGCUGGCAUCCGCCACACUGACUGCGGAGGUCGCCCUACUGAAGCAGGACCUCGAGAGGUCUAGGAGAGAGCUCGGCCUUGUCAAGAGGCAGCUCGAGGAGAACAAGGGUAAGUAAUACCUUGUCUUUAGAUAUGUAUAUAUAAAAGAAGAAGCGAUUGCAAAAUGACAGGAUCAUCGUACAUUCGCCAGGGGCCACGACCAAGGUGGCAACCCUCAAGCAAGCGCUAACCAAGGCCGAAGAUAACGCGGCCAAGGAGCGCACCGAGUGAGAGAAGCACGAGGCUCGGGUGGGCGAGGUGCAGCAAGAGCUCUAGGCUAUCAUGGUGAAGCACGAGGCAUUGGAGCUUGACUAAAAGACGCGAGAGUCUGAGCUUUCCGCGGCCCUCGAGAGCGCAAAAAGUGCCAAGGCCGAAGCCCAAAGGGGUCUCCAGGCGGGUAUGGCUUUCUAUAUGCAAAGCAAGCAUGUAAAAGUAAAUUACCGAUUACUUACUCGAAUCCGGAGCUCUCCAGGAGCAUUCGCAGAUUUUCCACGCAGCGUGUCCGAUGCCGCACAAUUUUACCAGGCCGAGGAUGGAAGCUCAAUGGAGAAGCUGUUCUGGUAUCAGUAUGCUGAGGCCGGACACCCGGUGCCAAUGAGCGACCAGCUGAAGCAGGUGGUCGAGCUACAUAAGGCGGCCGAUCAGGCCAUGAAGGGCUUUAUAGUCCGGCUGUGGCCUGGCGACGCCCUUCCGAACAGCUUCCUCGGCCUGGUGAGGCGGCUUGUGGAUGCCUGCCCGCGGCUGGAGGUCGUCAAGCGAUCUGUCUACAUUGAGGGUGCACGCCGGGCUUUCGCCCGUGUGAAAUUGCAGUGGGUCAAGCUAGACGCCGUGAAGCUGAUCAAGGAGGGGCCGCCGGAGGGCAAGGAGCACCGCCACCCCGAGAUGUACUACGAGGGUGUUCUGCUGGGUGCCCGUCUCAUAGCGGACGAGUGUUCAAAAGAUGUAAUAUUUGAGUGAGACUUGCUCGUUUUAUCCUGUAUUUAUGAAAACUUGUUUCAUAUGCACUAUGCAACGCUUGUUUGAAUUUAGAAUAUUACCUUCUGUUUGGCCGUUUAUCAAUCUGAGAGAUGGCUAGUCCUCAGCUUCUGCCCCCAUGCCACGAGUGCUGGGGUCUUCGGGAUAAACCUGAGCACUCUUGUUCCCAUAUUUGGGUCCUUGGAGGGAGGUGCUCAGCACAACGAACAAGGAAACCCGACUAAUAAUGCUUUAUCACUCUCACUUAGCGAUAGAAUUCUAUAAUUUUAAAUUUCGGCGAAGCCCCUGGUAUUCGGAAGGCCGAAUUCGGGGCGCGAUACACGCCUUUAAGCCGGACAGGGCCGGCCCCUCGCCCUAAGCGGCAUAAGUCUUUGGGGACUCGAUAACCUCGCCGAACAGCGAUCAGUCUCUCCCCUUAUCAUGACAGUCAGUUUUAGCUUUCUCUACUUAGGUGCCGAACCCAGCAAAACCGGGGCACAAUCGCAGUAGUUCUCCUAGCGCUACCUUAGCCGAUAGAGUGGAACGUAAGGUACCAAAACAUAGGAGCCGGGCAAACCCAACAUUUGACCAAAGACAUGAUUCGGAGCUGAUGCAUAUAAUGCUAUAAGUUUGGGGUGCCGCACUUGUGAAAGUGUUCGGACUUUUCACACCGUAUUGUGGGGUACGUAAGCCCCUGGUGUAUUGGCCGUACCAAAGUGUACGGUUGCAAGGCAUCAUUAAUGAACAUAUAUAUAUAUAUAUAUAUAUAUAUAUAACAAGAGUGCAAUAAUAGUCGUAAUGUCAUGCAUUGUUUAUUCAAAAAAUUACGUUAAAGUAGGGUGAUACAGAUAGUGUGAUAAGCAAAGAGUAGGACUAUGUCCCUUCCCAAGGCAAGCUAAGGAAUGAUAUUAAAUUGAAUAUUUCGCUCGUUACAGUAAUCCACCUAGGAAUUCCGUGGUGUGACGUAGCUAUCUGCCUCCUUGGUUGCUGCAUCGUGUGUUCGGCAAUAGUGCUGCCGGACAGUGUUUCCAGAGGUUAAUGUCCUGAAAAAAAGAGAAAAAUAACCAAACGGGAAGCCCCUAGUGCGGUUUAAGCCGCGUCUUGGGGCGUGCUGCAGUUGUGCCACCCUCCCCACCUGUGCCCAUGGUAUUUUUAAUGCGUAAUUAUGUACGCGUGGCAUGAGUUUCGUCGUUGGGCUGGGAUUGGGGUGGCCGCCUUAUUGCUACGCGAGCUCAGAUCGCGCAAGGCGGUCUAUUUGCCGAUUGCUCCGAGCGCGCUUGAAGGUGUCCGGGCUUUGAAGCGCCGGACUGGUUGAUUGCCUUGAGAGGCUGCUUUGCGCUUCUGCUGCGAGGGCCGCGGUGUGCUCCUCUGUUCGGAGAGAGCACUCUGUGUUUCCAUUGACUGUAAUAACUCCGCGAGGUCCUGACAUCUUGAGCUUGAGGUAUGCAUAGUGCGGUACCGCAUUGAAUCUAGCAAAUGCGGUUCGCUCGAGCAGCGCGUGGUAACCACUGCGGAAUGGGACUAUAUCGAAGAUUAGCUCUUCGCUUCGGAAGUUAUCCGGGGAUCCGAAGACCACUUCCAGUGUAAUUGAGCCUGUGCAAUGGGCCUCUACACCUGGAAUGAGGCCUUUAAAGGUCGUUUUUGUGGGUUUGAUCCUUGAGGGGUCUAUACCCAUUUUGCGCACUAUAUCCUGAUAAAGUAGGUUCAGGCUGCUGCCGCCAUCCAUAAGGACUCGAGUGAGGUGAAAUCCGUCAAUGAUUGGGUCUAGGACUAGUGCGGAAAAUCUACCAUGAUGGAUACUAGUGGGGUGGUCCCUUCGAUCGAAGGUGAUCGGAUAGGAGGACCAAGGGUUGAACUUUGGGGUGACUGGCUCGAACGCAUAUACGUCCAUGAGCGCACGCUUCCGCUCCCUCUUAGGGAUGUGGGUUGCGUAUAUCAUGUUCACCGUCUGCAGUUGCGGGGGAAACCUCUUCUGUCCUUCGAUGUGCGGCUGCCGGGGCUCCUCCUCGUCAUCGCUAUGCGGCCCCUUGUCCUUCUUUUCGGCAAUUAACUUGCGGGCCUGCUUGAACACCCAACAAUCCCUGUUGGUGUGAUUGGCUGGCUUGUCUAGGGUGCCGUGUAUUUGACACGAGCGAUCGAGUAUACGUUCCAAGCUGGAUGGACCUGGCGUACUUUGUUUGAAUGGCUUUUUCCGCUGACCGGGUUUAGAGCCUUUGAAUCCGGCAUUGACUGCCGUAUCCUCGGUAUUUUCGCUGUUAAUGCGGCGGUUAUGUUUGUUGUGACAUGACCUGCUAUUGCCAUCCUUGGUAUCGGAGGUACCAUGGUUCUUUGAUAUGUUAUUACUACGGGCCAGCCAGCUGUCUUCUCCCGCACAAAAGCGGGUCAUGAGCGUCGUGAGAGCUGCCAUAGAUUUCGGCUUUUCCUGACCAAGGUGCCAGGCUAGCCACUCGUCUCGGAUGUUGUGUCUGAAAGCCGCUAAGGCCUCUGCAUCCGGACAGUCGACGAUUUGAUUUUUCUUUGUGAGGAACCAAGUCCAGAAUUGCCUAGCCGACUCUUCUGGCUGCUGAAUUAUGUGGCUCAAGUCAUCGGCGUCUAGUGGUCGCACAUAAGUGCCCUGAAAGUUGUUGAGGAAUGCGGCUUCCAGAUCUUCCCAACAGCUAAUGGAGUCCGCUGGCAAGCUGUUAAGCCAAUGCCGCGCUGGUCCUUUGAGCUUUAGUGGAAGAUAUUUGAUGGCGUGUAAGUCAUCACCGUGGGCCAUGUGGAUGUGGAGGAGGAAAUCCUCGAUCGAUACUGCAGGAUCUGUUGUGCCGUCGUAUGAUUCAAUAUUUACAGGUUUGAAACCUUCUGGGAAUUGAUGAUCCAUUACUUCGUCUCUGAAGCAUAAGGGGUGUGCGGCGCCUCUGUAGUGGGCUAUAUCGCGACGCAGCUCGAAUGGGUCUUGCCCGCUGUGUUCGGCCCGGCCGGAUUUGCUUUUACUGUAUCCGGCGUGACAUUUAUCGUCUCGCAGAGUUGUGCGCCCUCGUGAUCCGUAGAUCGAUCUUGCAUGCUUUGCUUUGUCCUCCAAUAUAUCUCGCAGGUCUGGCGUAUCUCCCCAUGCCUUUUUAUUUGAAUGGCGUCGGGGUGGAGGCUGAGUUUUUGGCUGGACUGCCUCUCUAUCGCGGCCACGAGGUGGCCGAUCCGGGCAGUAACCUGCACUUUGGGUAAUUCUUGGAGGGGUGCUUGAGUUUAUAUUCCUCGGCCGCGAGGACUUCAGUCCAUCUGUUAGUUAAGAGAUCUUGAUCAGCUUGAAGCUGCUGCUGCUUUUUCUUUAGGCUAUUUUCCGUGGCCAUAAGCCGGUGCUUGAAGCGCUCUUGUUCGAUGGGAUCCUCUGGUACAUCGAAUUCAUCAUCGCCGAGGCUUGCCUCGUCUUCGGAGGCGGGCGUGUAAUUGUCAUCCUCCUCCUCUCCGUCUGCCGCUCUUUCAGGAGGGUUGGCUCCUCCAUCCUCCUGCUCUAAAUCUUGCUGGAGGGGAUUAUUGUUGUCUUCGGCACUAUCCGGAGUGUUAUUAUCUCCUGUGCCGGUAUCACCACUUUUGCUUUGGCGGGACUUAGAGCGGCGCCGCUGACAUCGGCGCUUGGGUUGCUUCUUGGAGAGGUCAUCCUCCGUUAUCUCGUCGCCAUUGCCUUCUUUGGGUGUAUCCACCAUGUAUAUGUCGUAUGAUGAUGUGGCUUUCGAGUGCCCUAUGGGCGCUGGUUCAUGUUCAUCUCCUACAUCGUCGUCCAUACCAUCGAUGUCUUCGGAGUCGAAGUCGAGCAUGUCGGUUAAAUUAUCGACAGUGGCUACGAAGUGGGUGGUGGGUGGGCAUCGAAUUUCUUCGUCGUCCGCCUCCCAAUCCUGUUGGCCAUAGUCCGGCCAGGGCUCUCCUGACAAAGAGAGAGACUUUAGUGAAUUCAGAAUGUCACCGAAGGACGAGUGCUGCAAGAUAUCAGCGGCGGCGAAUUCCAUGAUCGGCGCCCAGUCGGAUUCAAUUGGCAGGGGCGCGGACGGUUCGGAGUCCGGAAAAGAGUCCGGCACCUUGGAGUCACGGGCUUUGCAGAGGAUUAGGCUGGUGUUCAACUCGAUCACCGUUGAGACUGCAGCCCCUGAGGCGGUGUCUAGCCACCCGUCCUCGACUGGCGCAGUUGGCUCCGAGCUAAGGGUCAGAGCUGAUGCGGGCGCGGCCUCUGGGGUACUGUCCGGUGGUAGAGCUAGGUCAUACCCAUCGUGACAGUGCAGCGCGCCCGGCUGUGGCUUGAAUCCGUCGAAGAUCAAGUCUCCGAGGAUGUCGGCCGUGUAGUUCAAACUUCCAAAUCUGACCUGAUGGCCAGGGGUGUAGCUUUCAAUCUGCUCCAGAUGGCCAAGCGAAUUAGCCCGUAGUGCAAAGCCGCCGAACACUGGACCGCAUCGUUGUUCAUGAUCGGAGGAGCCAUCGGGCCUAAAGGUGACGACACCGAGGAAAUCUCAAUGGAAGCACCAAUGUCGGUGUCAAAUCCGGCGGAUCUCGGGUAGGGGGUCCCGAACUGUGCGUCUAGGCCGGAUGGUAACAGGAGGCAGGGGACACAAUGUUUUACCCAGGUUCGGGCCCUCUUGAUGGACGUAAAACCCUAUGUCCUUCUUGAUUAAUAUUGAUGAUAUGUGUAGUACAAGAGUAGAUCUACCACGAGAUCAGAGAGGCUAAACCCUAGAAGCUAGCCUAUGGUAUGAUUGUAUACGUCCUACGGACUAAAACCCUCCAGUUUAUAUAAACACCGGAGAGGGUUAGAGUUACACAAGGUCGGUUGCAAAGGAGGAGAUAUCCAUAUCCGUAUUGCCUAGCUUGCCUUCCACGCCAAGUAGAGUCCCAUCCGGACACGGGACGGAGUCUUCAAUCUUGUAUCUUUAUAGUCCAACAGUCCGGCUGUCCGGAGACCCCCUAAUCCAGGACUCCCUCACCCCCACUCCCUAUCGAACCCUAGCCCAAUCGCCCCACCUCCCCCACACCCCCUCGCCAGCCUCCCCACCUCUUGAUCCCAUCUGGAUCGGGGAGGGGAUCACCCCCAUCGACCCCGUCGCCGUCGCCGGAUCGCCCGUCAGCGUCGCCAGGCCUCCUCCCCGCCGCCCGUCUCCGGCUCGCCUCCCCUCUCGCUCCUCUUUCCCGACCCGAUCAGGAUCGUGAACGAGCAAUGAGCGCGACGCCCCCCCUUCAUCGGCGCCAUCACCGUGCGCCACCACCACCGCCUGAAGACCUCGCCGUCGCUGACCUUGUGUCGUCUCCUGGUAUCCCUUCCCGACUCGCGUCCUCAAGCCAGGCCGACCCCCUUCUCGGCAAUGCUGUGAGACGCCCCCCGUUUCCCUCCUCUUUCCACCGUGUUCACCGCGCCGCCUGACGAAGCUACGUACCUAGGGUAGGGGCAUGGACCUGUCCUAAGAGCCCUACCCAAGGACAUCCCUGGAAGAAGUCACCUUUCAAUCGACUUGAAGGUACCCACUCGACGGGUUUAAGACACUCGACCAAGAAGCUACCACUCGACAUGAAGCCAAUCACUCGACUGCCAGGAGAUCUAAAGUCAUUCCACGGGCAAACGGUCGGCUAUUAAGUAGUCUUUAUGGUCAUUAUAGCACUUUAUUACCAGCAUUACCAGUAACGCCCCGCCUUAAUGUACAUUGAACCCUUGGUAACGUAGGCUGGCCGGGGUCCUGGCGCGCUCUAUAUAAGUCACCCCCUCCUCCGAGACAAGGGUUCGCACCUCUAUUGUUCACAUGCCUAUAAUCCAAUCGACCGCCUCCGGGCACUGAGACGUAGGGCUGUUACUUCCUCCGCGAAGGGCCUGAACUCGUACACCUUGGUGUGUUUACAACUUCCCAAUAGCUGAGAUCUAGCCUCUCCAUACACACCCCCCUACAUCACUGUCAGAGUUAGAACCACAAUAGUUGGCGCCCACCGCGGGGCCAGAAUCUUAGCGCUUACUUGGAGAAGUUGCGAUUCUUCUGAUCCCUUUGAUCAUGGUUUCAUGCGGAGUUUUGGUGGAGGGGCGCGAGAUCCGUCUCGGCGCGCUCACAUUCAUCGCCGACGACUCCGCUUGGUUUCAGGAGGCUCCACUCGACAUCGACGUGCUCCCCGUCCGUGGUGCGACGCACUUCCGCGCAUGCGUUCGUGGCGUCCUCCUGCGGCAGCCGUCGACCCAGUAUCGGUCGGCCCUCGUGUCGUCUCCCCGCUCUGUCUCCCUCCGACGCAAGCGCUUUGGUAGGUCGAGACUUUAGAGGUGGGUGAGGCAUGCCGUGGCUCGCCAGUCGGCCGCCCCACAAGUCGCGGCAAUCGAGCCCGACAAAUCCCUCUGCAGCCUGUUCGACUGGCUCCGCGGAGACUUCAUCCGAGUGUGACAGCAGAGACCCAGCGGCUGAGGUUCUGGCGGUCGAUGGGACACACUGUCCUCCCGGUUUCCCUCGCGCUAAUGGAGGCGCGGGUGGGGGCGACCCGUCGCAUCCCCACGAUGAGUAUCUCCCCGAAUGUCUCACGGCAUCGCAGCGAGAGGAACUUCACCGCCGGAACAUAGACGCACUCCACACUCCUAUCGUCGGAGAAACCCCCGAGGCCCGGGCCUUGGAGGACGCGCGCUUGGCUAACUUGGCUGAGCGCACUCGACUGGAGAAUCUCCAGCUAAUACUCGAUGAGCAAGCGCGCCAGUGAGCUCCCGAGUCCAGUCGACGUCAGCUCUUUCCGCCGAUGCAGGUAUAUUGAACCCUAGUUCAGAAUUUGGCCGCCGCGGCCCGUAUAGCAGAGUCAAUUCAGCCCUCCCAGUCAGAGGCUGGCAGGGGCUUGUUGCAGAUCAGAGCAUUGCUCCGGGCGGCGGGGAACCAGAAUUCCGCUGUUUCUCAGUCGCAGAAUAGGAUCCACAGUCGAUCCGUUGCAACAGAUACAGUCCAGUCGGCUCACAGCCCGAGAUCGCCCCCGAGGCGUGAGGGACAUGGAGACCGGCACGAUCAGUACAGAAGAAAUGAGCAGUAUGAUCACCGAUUCGAUCGUGAGGAUCGACGUCGAGUGCCAACCCCUCCCCCGAGGAGUGGGUCAUAUGCGCCUCGAUAGCGAGAUGACAGGCGCCCUCAUAGUGUUGGGCAGAGGAUUCCAGUCGACCCCAGGGACCCAGGCUUUGAUGCGAGAUCCAUCCUUGAUCAAGGUCUGGUUGACAGGAACGGGGCUCACCGAGAAUGCCAGGACAGAGAUGCGCCUGCCAGCAGCAGAGUGCGUGUUUCAGGGACAGAGUGUUUCAGUCGAGCCAUCAGAGCCACAGUGAUUCCUCCCAACUUCAGGUUGGCGACUGGAGUCAGCUAGUUCACCGGUGAGUCUAAGCCUGACACUUGGCUCGAAGAUUACCGAGUGGCUGUACAGAUUGGCAGUGGCAAUGAUGAGGUGGACAUGAAGCAUUUGCCUCUCAUGUUAGAGGGCUCAGCCAGAGCAUGGCUAAAUCAGUUAGUGCCCAGCAGCAUUUACACUUGGGAGGACCUCUCCCGAGUGUUUGUCACAACCUUUGAGGGAACAUGCAAGCGACCUGCAGGCCUUACAGAGUUGCGGUCUUGCACGCAGAAACCGAAUGAAACGCUGAGGGAUUACAUCCAGAGGUGGAUCACAUUGCAUCACACAGUUGAGAAUGUUCCAGAUCAUCAAGCAGUUUGUGCCUUCAAAGAAGGCGUUAAGUACAGAGAAUUGAAUCUGAAGUUCGGUCGAACUGGAGAGAUGUCUCUGAAUCGGAUGAUGGAGAUUGCCACCAAAUACGCUAAUGGUGAAGACGAAGAUCGCCUCCGGAGUGGCAAGCGCAAGGCAGUCGCCCAAGAAACCGGAGGAAACUCCAGUCAGAAACAGAAGCGGAAGGCUGAGCCAGCCGCCCCUGGGGAGGCCCUGGCCGUAACCCAGGGAAAUUUCAAGGGAAAACCCAAGGGCCCCUGGAAGCCCAAGAAAGUCAAGGAUCAAGAUGGAAAUGAUGUUUUGGAUCUGCCAUGUCACUCCACACCAAGAAAGAUGAAGAGGGUAAUUUUAUUUACCCAAAGCAUACCACUCGACAGUGCCAGCUCCUGAUCCAGCAGUUUCAGGGCAAGCAACCCAAAGAUAAGGAAAAAGAGCCAGACAGAGUUGAGGACAAGGAUGAUAGUGACGAUGGAUACCCCCAAGUCAAUUCCACCCUGAUGAUUUUUGCUGAUGUCGAAAGCAAAAGUCGACUGAAAGUCAUUAAUCGUGAAGUGAAUAUGGUUGCUCCGGCAACACCUAGUUAUCUGAAGUGGUCUCAGGCUGCCAUAACAUUCGACCAGUCUGAUCACCCUACGCACAUUGCCACCCCUGGGAGGCAAGCUUUGGUGGUCGACCCAGUUGUCGAAGGCACUCGACUGACCAAAGUCCUGAUGGAUGGUGGCAGUGGCCUGAACAUACUGUAUGCUAAAACAUUGAAAGGGAUGGGCAUUCCGAUGUCCGGGCUCAGUACCAGCAACAUGAGCUUCCACGGAGUCAUUCCCGGGAAGUAAGCCGAAUCACUCGGCCAGAUUGCUCUUGAUGUGGUUUUCGGUGAUUCAAAGACUUACCGCAAGGAAAAGUUGACAUUCGAGGUUGUGGACUUCCAAAGUGCUUAUCAUGCCAUUUUGGGCAGACCAGCUUAUGCACGCUUCAUGGCCUGACCAUGUUAUGUGUAUCUCAAAUUGAAGAUGCCUGGUCCUAAAGGUGUGAUCACUGUUACAGGCAAUCGGAAGAAGGCAGAAGAGUGUUUUCAGAAAGGCUCAAAGAUUGCUGACGCUCAGAUGGCAGUGGUUGAGCUGCAAGAGUAUCAGAAGACUGCAGAUCCGAGUGAGUUGCUACGAGCUAAGAAGCCCACUUCGGAGUCAGCUUUUCAGUAGUCUGGUGAAAUGAAGGCAGUUCACAUUCACCCGACCAACCCCGAGGCUGCCCCGACUCACAUCUCAAAGACGCUCGACUCCAAAUAGGAAGAAGUGCUCAUCCAGUUCCUCCGUGAGAACUGGGACAUCUUCGCAUGGAAGCCUUCUGACAUGCCUGGAAUAACCAGGGGGCUGGCUGAGCACCGUCUACGAGUCGACCCAAAGUUCAAGCCUAUGAAAGAACAUCUUCGACGGUCCGCCGUCCAAAAGAGGAAAGCUAUUGGCGAGGAGGUGGCUCGGCUCUUAGCAGCAGAGUUCAUCCGAGAGAUGUACCACUCUGAGUGGCUCGCCAAUGUUGUCAUGGUCCCCAAGAAGGACAAGUCGCUUCGCAUAUGCAUCGACUUUAAACAUAUCAAUCGGGCCUGCCCGAAAGAUCAUUUUCCUCUCCCUCGCAUCGACCAAAUAGUCGACUUGACCGCGGGGUGUGAGCGAUUGUCUUUUCUAGACGGCUAUUCCGGGUACCAUCAGAUCCGUCUGUAUGGACCCGAUGAGAUCAAAACAGCUUUCAUCACUCCAUUCGGGUGCUUCCGUUAUGUCACCAUGCCCUUCGGCCUCAAGAACGCUGGAGCCACGUUCAUGAGGAUGAUUCAGAAGUGUUUGCUCACUCAAAUCAGUCGGAACGUGGAAGCAUACAUGGAUGAUAUUGUGGUCAAGUCGCGGAAAGGUUCCGACCUGCUGACUGACCUUGCUGCAACCUUUGCCAACCUUAGGAGGUAUGAUAUCAAGCUUAAUCCAUCAAACUGCACAUUCGGAGUUCCGGGUGGAAAGUUACUCGGUUUUCUCGUUUCCGAAUGAGGAAUCAACGCCAAUCCCGAGAAAGUUGGCACCAUACUCCGGAUGAAGCGCCCUGUGCGUGUGCACGAUGUCCAGAAGCUUAUGGGUUGCUUGGCCGCUCUAAGUCGAUUCAUUUCUCGUCUCAGUGAAAAGGCAUUGCCUCUUUACCGACUGAUGAAGAAGUCUGACAAGUUCGAGUGGACUCCAGAAGCUGAUGCAGCGUUUGCAGACCUCAAAGCUCUGCUCUCCACCCAGCCGGUGCUUGCUGCCCCAAUCAGUAAAGAGCCUUUGCUGCUUUACAUUGCAGCCACAGGACAAGUUGUCAGUACAGUACUUAUGGUCGAGCGGGAAGAUGAAGGAUAGGCCUUCAGAGUUCAACGCCCAGUAUAUUAUGUGUCUGAAGUUUUGACACCUUCAAAACAAAGAUAUCCUCAUUAUCAGAAGCUUGUAUACGGGAUUUAUAUGACCACGAAGAAGGUUGCACAUUACUUCUCUGACCACUCCAUUACAGUCGUCAGCGACGCCCCACUGUCAGAGAUUCUGCAUAACAGAGAUGCAACUGGUCGAGUGGCGAAGUGGGCGAUUGAACUCCUUCCCCUAGAUAUCAAGUUUGAAGCAAAUAAGGCUAUCAAGUCCCAAGCAAUUGCAGAUUUCAUCACCGAGUGGAUCGAACAGCAGCUUCCGACUCAAGUUCACCCGGAGCACUGGACCAUGUUCUUCGAUGGAUCUAAGAUGCUGAAUGGUUCCGGUGCUGGGGUAGUAUUGGUCUCCCCCCGAGGAGAUAAGCUCAGAUAUGUUCUCCAGAUUCACUUUGAUUCCUCCAAUAAUGAAGCAGAAUAUGAAGCACUUUUGUAUGGGUUGCGCAUGGCCAUUUCACUUGGCGUCCGUCGCCUCAUGGUCUAUGGCGACUCAGAUUUGGUGGUUAAUCAGGCGAUGAAGGAGUGAGACGUCAGAAGUCCGGCAAUGACUGGUUAUUGCAAUGUAGUGAGAAAGCUAGAAAAGAAAUUCGAGGGGUUAGAGCUUCAUCACAUCCCCCGACUGAAAAAUCAGGUAGCUGACGAUUUGGCAAAGAUAGGCCCCAAGAGAGAAGCCAUUCCCAGCAACGUGUUCCUGGAACACAUUCAUUCGCCAUCAGUCCAAGAAGAUCCUUUUACAGAAGAAGCCCCGCAGCCGAAAAGUGCCACAGAUCCGACUGAAGUCGAAGUCCCUGCUGUGGUCGACCUAAUCAUGGAAGUCUUCGCAAUCACUCCCGACUGGACGAUACCGUACAUCGCGUAUAUCCUAAGGAAAGAACUCCCGGAGGACGAGGAAGAGGCUCGACAGAUCGUCCGCCGAUCCAAAGCCUUCACAGUCACAAGGGGACAGUUGUAUAGAGAAAGCGCGACUGGGAUCGGUCAGAAGUGCAUAACACUAGAAGAGGUUCAGAUAAUCCUUGACGACAUCCACUCGCGGACCUGUGGUCACCAUGCGUCUUCUCGGACCAUUGUGGCUAAAGCAUACCGAGCGGGAUUUUACUGGCCAAGAGCAAAUGAGAUGGCAAAAGAGAUAGUCGACCAGUGUGGAGGGUGCUAGUUCUACUCCAACAUGUCACACAAGCCUGCGUCAGCCCUGAAGACCAUUCCACUCGUCUGGCCCUUUGCUGUCUGGGGACUGGACAUGGUUGGUCCACUAAGAACAGGCAGGAGCGGUUUCACUCAUGUGCUUGUGGUAGUCGACAAGUUUACCAAAUGGAUUGAGGCUAAGCGCAUCAAGAAUCUUGAUGCUUGCACUACUAUCAGUUUCGUCAGAGGGCUAACAUUCAGAUAUGGAGUCCCGCAUAGCAUCAUCACUGACAAUGGGUCAAACUUUGAUUCGGACAAGUUCAGAGCUUUUUGCGCCUCUCAAGGCACACGAGUCGACUACGCAUCGGUCGCCCAUCCCCAGUCGAAUGGACAAGCAGAGAGAGCAAAUGGUUUGAUUCUCAAAGGACUAAAGCCUCGACUGAUGCGCGAUCUCAAGCACGCGGCAGGUGCUUAGGUCGACGAGCUUCCGUCAGUUCUGUGGGGAUUGAGGACCACCCCGAACCGGUCGACUGGAGGAACUCCAUUCUUUCUGGUUUAUGGAGCCGAGGCAGUUCUGCCGAGUGAUCUUCUUCACAACGCACCCCGAGUCGAACUUUAUACCGAAGAUGAAGCAGAACAAGCCCGGCAAGACGCAGUCGACCUACUAGAAGAAGAGAGGGAGAUGGCCAUGAUCAGAUCGACCAUUUAUCAGCAAGACUUGCGUCGAUUCCACGCUAGGAAUGUGAAGAGUCGAGCCUUCCAAGAAGGAGAUUUGGUCCUCCUAGUGGAUCAACAGAAACCACACAAGCUUGCUCCUACUUGGGAAGGCCCCUUCAUCGUCACCAGAGUCCUCCACAAUGGAGCGUAUCACCUCUACAAUGUUGAUCGCCAGAUCGAUGAGCCGCGAGCUUGGAAUGCGGAACUGCUCCGCCCCUUUUACACUUGAGUUCUCCCUUGGACGAGAUGUAAUAAGAAAAAAUUUCUGCAGUUCAUUUUUAUCAAAGGCAAGAGUGUUCCAAUAAUUGCUGUCACUUUUGUUUGCAUACGAAAUCCCCCAGUGGGUGACUUAGCUGCGAAUCCGUUUCGCCUAAGUUUGAAAAAUCCUACCGAGUGGAGAGCCAGAUUCCCACUCGGGGGCUUAGCUCCAGCCCAGUGCUUGCCUAAGUGUUCAAAAAUCCUACCAAGUGAGAGCAAUCCUCCCACUUGGGGGCUUAGCUGCAGUCCAGUACUCGCCUAAGUUCUCCCACUUAGAGACUUAGCUGCAGUCAGGCACUCGCCUAAGUUUGAAAAAAUCCUACCGAGUGGAGAGCAAUCCUCCCACUCGAGGGCUUAGCUGCAGUCCAGUACUCGCCUAAGUUCUCCCACUUAGAGACUUAGCUACAGUCAGGCACUCGCCUAAGUUUGAAAAAAUCCUACCGAGUGGAGAGCAACCCUCCGACUCGGGGGCUUAGCUGCAGUCCAGUACUCACCAAAGUUCUCCCACUUAGAGACUUAGCUANNNNNNNNNNNNNNNNNNNNNNNNNNNNNNNNNNNNNNNNNNNNNNNNNNNNNNNNNNNNNNNNNNNNNNNNNNNNNNNNNNNNNNNNNNNNNNNNNNNNNNNNNNNNNNNNNNNNNNNNNNNNNNNNNNNNNNNNNNNNNNNNNNNNNNNNNNNNNNNNNNNNNNNNNNNNNNNNNNNNNNNNNNNNNNNNNNNNNNNNNNNNNNNNNNNNNCUCUCCUUCCGAGCUACGCCACAAGUACAACAUGCGCUCUGCAAGGAGGACGAGGUGCAGGUCGACUGCUACCCUCUCCUUCCGAGCUACGCCACCAAUUCAAAAUCCUACUGAGUGGAGAGCAAACCUCCCACUCGGGGGCUUAGCUGCAGCCCAGUGCUCGCCUAAGUAUUUGAAAUCCUACCGAGUGGAGAGCAAACCUCCCACUCAGGGGCUUAGCUGCAGCNNNNNNNNNNNNNNNNNNNNNNNNNNNNNNNNNNNNNNNNNNNNNNNNNNNNNNNNNNNNNNNNNNNNNNNNNNNNNNNNAAAUCCUACCGAGUGGAGAGCAAACCUCCCACUCGGGGGCUUAGCUACAGCCCAGUGCUCGCCUAAGUAUUUAAAAAUCCUACCGAGUGGAGAGGAAACCUCCCACUCGGGGGCUUAGCUGCAGCCCAGUGCUCGCCUAUGUGUUUAGAAAUCCUACCGAGUGGAGAGCAAACCUCCCACUCGGGGGCUUAGCUGCAGCCCAGUGCUCGCCUAAGUGUUUAGAAAUCCUACCGAGUGGAGAGCAAACCUCCCACUCGGGGGCUUAGCUGCAGCCCAGUGCUCGCCUAAGUGUUUAGAAAUCCUACCGAGUGGAGAGCAAACCUCCCACUCGGGGGCUUAGCUGCAGCCCAGUGGUCGCCUAAGUGUUUAAAAAUCCUACCGAGUGGAGAGCCAGACUCCCACUCGGGGGCUUAGCUGCAGCCUAGCGCUCGCCUAAGUGUUUAAAAAUCCUACCGAGUGAGAGCAAACCCCUCACUCGGAGGGCUUAGCUGCAGCCCGGUGCUCACCUAAGUACAGGACACAACCCAAUCCGCAAGAAGUUACGCCACAAAUACAAGGUUAUUCCGAGUGAAGAUCAAGUUGCACUCGACAGAUCAAACCAUGAAGAUAUCCAACGAGAAAUCAAGUUCGGAUAAAGCCUAAAGGUCCCAGACCUCAGAUCAAAGUACUCGAGCCCUCGGCUCGGCAGAGUUUAACGGUUACAAAUCCACUCAGCAUUCCGAGGCAAAUUUAAAGUGAAGCACGACGAACUCGUCCAAGUCGAUCCCGUCUGCAAUACGAGUGGCAGCAGCGAUGAAAGUCUCCAUGAAGUCUUGAAAGCUGUGCUUCCUGGUAUUGGCAACUUGGAUGGCGGCCGGCUUUUCUUCUCGCGCCUCCUUGCAAUGGACGCGGACCAGAGACAGAGCGACAUCAGCACCACAUCUAGCAGAAGAUUUCUUCCAUUCCGCCACUCAACCCGGGACUUCAUUCUGUCGAGCCAUCAGAGACUCGAGGUCGUUCUGAAGCAUCAUCCCAGGCCAGAGUGAUGUGUCAAUCCGCGACAUCGCAACCUUCAGUCGAGCAAGAUAGUCAACAACACUGGUAACACGAGACUCCAGUCGGAGCACGUUCAUAGCAGCUUCAUCCUUCACGAGAGAAUUGGCGGGGUCCAAGCCUGGCUCCACUCGACUGGUUUCCUCUUCGAAGUUCUGGCAGAAUUCUGCAAACACGAUUCAAGAGUCAGACAUUGGCUCUACACAGGCUUGGCAACUGCAAGACAGUCGGGGCAGAGUAAUUACCUUCGAGCAUGACGAACAGCUUCUUGGUGAGUCCACCGAGAUAAGCCUCCAGAUCAUUUACCUUCCCCGCCAGCUUACCCGCCUGGUCGUGUAGAACCAUCUUUUCAUUCUUCAGUCGGCUGACCUCUUGAUUAGCUGUCUCGAGAGCAGUUUUCAGCCUCGAGUUCUCCUGUUCAAGAGUUCCGACCGAAGCCAUUUUCUCUUCUCCAAGCUUCGUUCUGCUCAAGGCCUCCUUCUGUGAUUCUGCAAGAUCUUGAUCCUUCUUCUUCAGAGCUUCUUCCAGUUUAUCUGCGGCACGUCGAGUGAAAUCAACAUCAAGAAUGGACAAGCAAGAAAAAUCACUCGUCAAGAAUGGAGAACCUCACCAGCCAUACCUUUUGCUUCUUCUUGCGCCUUCCUCAAAUUCUCUUGAGCAAGCUUCAAGUUAAGGUUGAGCUGGAUCUGCUUAUUCUCCAACUCAGUAUAGCGAGCUACAAGUUCACAGGAUUUCUGCAAAAAGAAAAAUCAGUGGACAGACGUCCAAGAUAAGUUGCUUCCCAAUAACUAAAAGACAACGAUGGCGUUUCUAAGACUAUAGCCGAAUCUAAAACAUUCGACAGUAGUCUCGGGGACUACACCCAGUGGGUGCACUCUGCGUGCCCCCAUUGUAAAAAAAGUCGACUGCCCGCAGUCGACCGGAUACAGUUCCAUUCGACAUGGCCUGACCAGACCGAAUGAAGAAAUACAGCUACAACAACACAAUAUAAAGACUACAGUCGACUGCCAGCAGUCCACCAUAGUCUCGGGGACUACACCCAGUGGGUGCACUUAGCGUUCCCCCACUCGUCCAAGAAUUGGCAGACACACCCAGUGGGUGUACAGAUAUAAAGAUCUUCAAAAAAAAAGAUUCUUCAAACAGCAUAUCGUAACAGACCAAGUGUUGAGUCGACUGACCUGGACGUUACUCUGAAGAGCCGAACUCGCGUCAUAAGCCGCUUGGCUGGCCUCCCAAGCCGCUUUCACUUGUUCCAUCAUAAUCCCCGCCUGGCGUAUGGCCUCUUUUGCAGCAGCUGCUUGGUCCUCAGGGACGGGGUACGUGGCAAAAAGCGAAGGCGGAUCCGCAGUCGACGUCAAGGGCCGCACCCUCGUCAGAGGAAUGGCGAAAGUCACAGAAGCCCGAGUGGUUUCACCACCGUCUCGGGCUACGGCCUCAGGCGCCGGAGUGGAUUGUGGGGUCUCGCCAGCCGACGCUCCCCUGUUCCUUCUCACUCUCAGCGGCACGUCAUCGUCGUCAUCCGGAAGGUUGAUAACAUGAUAAGGAGCUACAAGAAAAAAUUCAAUCGACCAGAGUUGCAAUAAGUGUCCAGUCGACUGAAGGCAGAACAUCAGUAAUCAUACCAGGGUGGAGGUAACAGCAUCCUCCAUCUCUUGGUCGUCGUCCUUGGCAGAGACCUCCGAAGUAGGAGCACUGCAAAUCUCGAAAGUCAGUCAGUUGGCUCAAUGAAUCGACCAAGGAUCUGUCCACGGUCGACAAAGGAAAACAAGUUUUGUUAUUACCCAGAAAUGGUGGGGACAGCCAUCUUCAUCUUGGGCAGAGCCUUGGGCGGCUUGGACGGCGUCGCGCGUGGGUGCUUGGGAGCCUUUCCAGUCAGCGUAGGAGAAGAGGUUCGAGGGCGUUUCGACAACUGCCCAACAGGAGCAGUCGCCUACCACGUUCCCGCGCUGGAUCAUGUGUGAGCUUGGAUCGCCUCUCCCGGUGGGGGGGGGGGGGGGGUCAACCUCCUCCUCCUCCUCUUCGCUGGAGUUGACGUCGUCGUCUCCCUCUCCUUCGCCAUCGGACUCCCACUCGCCUUGAUCGUCUCCACUCUCACAUCCGCUCGCCUCCCCUUCCUCAGUUGGCUCCUGUGCCCCGUUGGGUGUCGAGUACAUCUCAGUAGUCGCCUGGAAAACAACAGACAAGACAAAAGUUAGUCGACCAAUUCAAAGAAGACCAAUGAAGAAAACAAGAUUUCAAUCGGGAGCGUAAAGUCAGACCUGGUCCACUUCGUAUUGUUGUCGAGUGGAGAAACCCUCCUGGCGCCUCGGGGGUUGUCUUUGUUUCCUGUGAUGCUCGUCAGCCACCCCUCCAACAUCUCAUCAGUGACCUCCUCCGGGUGGAUCCGAGUGGUGUCUUCGAGGCCCGAGUACAGCCACAUCGGGUGGCCGCGAGCCUGGAGCGGUUGGAUGCGCCUCCGAAGAAAGACCUCCAGCAAGUCCAUGCCAGUCACGCCAUCACGGACGAGCUGAACCACUCGACCAACCAGCACUUUGAAUUGGGUCUUUUCUUCUGGCGUCACUUUCAGAGAAGCAGGUUUUUGAGCUCGGUCGAGAGAGAAAUGGGGAAGCCCGGUCGACUGUCCUGGGGUCACCUGGUCUUUGCAGUAAAACCAGGUCGCCUGCCAACCACGGACCGACUCUGGGAAAAUGAUAGAUGGAAAACAACUCUUUCCCCUCGUCUGGAUCGCGAGGCCCCCGCACAGCUGGAUCACUUGCGUCCUUUCCUCACUCGACUUGGCCUUCUUGACCGAUUGGGAGCGGCAAGUAAAGAUGUGCUUAAAGAGCCCCCAAUGGGGGCGGCAACCCAGGAAACCCUCACACAAGGAAAUGAAGGUAGCAAGGUACACGAUAGAGUUGGGAGUGAAGUGGUGGAGCUGCGCUCCGAAGAAAUUUAGAAAACUCCGGAAAAAAGGAUGAGGAGGCAGAGAAAACCCUCGAUCGAUGUGGGUGGUGAGAAGGACACACUCACCAUCACGGGGUUGAGGCUCGACUUCUCCCCCCUGGAGACGCGCAGCCUCGUAAGGAAUGACUCCCCCCUCAACCAUAUCGUCGAGGUCUUCCUGCCGAAUCACCGACGGCAUCCAAUCGCCCUGGAUCCAGCCUCUGGGCAGAGCAGUCCUUGAGGAAGAUCCGCCCCAAGCGGACUUCUUCCCUUUCCCCUGCACCGACGCCUUCUUCGCGCGCUCCAGAGCAGACGUCUUGCCCUUCACCAUCGUCGCCGGCGAAUCUCAAACGGGUCUGCGGCGCUAGGGUGAGAGCGGAGGUGGCGGAGGACUUCGCGAAGGGAGAAAGAAGAGAAAGAAGAGAAAGGAGAGAGCACUGUUCGGGAACCCGAGCAGGCGGCUUAUAAGAGGCCGCUCCUGAGUGGCUGACUGGUAGGCCCAGGCUAUCCCGUCAAAUCCCGCAGUAGACGCGCGCGCAGCUCGUGGCGGAAAAGGUGGCACGGGAAUCGAGGAGCUUCUGCCUUAUCACAUCCGAUUACUGCGGCCGCGCCCGUCCCGCUCGCUCCCCGAUGUUCAAAUCCCGCGAAAUCCGCGGGCUGCGGAACAACUCAUCAAAUAGAAGAUCCCUCUCGUGCCGGCACUCGGUAUUUCACAAGUAAGGAAAUUCACUCGACGGGAGACCAAGAAUGGAUCAAGGCGACCGAAAGAAGUUGACAACGUCAUCCUUGGCGAUAGAUCUAGUACAAGACGUCCAUAUGACGCUAAAAACCAGUCGGAAGGACCCCCAACUCCUUCCCCACUCGAACCUCGAUCCAUUCGGGGGCUAAUGACGAAGCUACGUACCUAGGGUAGGGGGAUGGACCUGUCCUAAGAGCCCUACCCAAGGACAUCCCUGGAAGAAGUCACCUUUCAAUCGACUUGAAGGUACCCACUCGACGGGUUUAAGACACUCGACCAAGAAGCUACCACUCGACACGAAGCCAAUCACUCGACUGCCAGGAGAUCUAAAGUCAUUCCACGGGCAAACGGUCGGCUAUUAAGUAGUCUUUAUGGUCAUUAUAGCACUUUAUUACCAGCGUUACCAGUAACGCCCCGCCUUAAUGUACAUUGAACCCUUGGUAACGUAGGCUGGCCGGGGUCCUGGCGCGCUCUAUAUAAGCCACCCCCUCCUCCGAGACAAGGGUUCGCACCUCUGUUAUUCACACGCCUAUAAUCCAAUCGACCGCCUCCGGGCACCGAGACGUAGGGCUGUUACUUCCUCCGCGAAGGGCCUGAACUCGUACACCUUGUUGUGUUUACAACUUCCCAAUAGCUGAGAUCUAGCCUCUCCAUACACACCCCCAACAUCACUGUCAGAGUUAGAACCACGACACCGCCUGCCGUGCCCCUCGCCGCACGCCCACCACCGCGCCAGCCCCCACUCUGUGGACGACCCUAGCCGCGCCCGCGCCGUGAUCCCCUUUUCCGCCCUACCUUCCCGCACUCGCCGCGGUCCCGAUGCUCCCCCGCGCCCUCUUUCAGGGGCGCCGACUGCCCCUGUCCCAUUACUCGCCGCCGCGCCUCGCCACCGCUCUACUGCUACGUUACUACUGCGCUGCGGCCGCCGCCUCUUCCCGCUGCUCCGCUAGCGCCGAAGCUCCCGGCUGGCUCUGCCACUGGUCACGUUUAACUACCGGUCUAAAUGGCCUAACCUCCCGGCAAAUGAACCCCCAGUAACCCACUGACACCGGGAGCCACAUCCCCUAAUUAACCAUUAAUAAAUUAAAACUCUUAAAUUAACAUUAGUGUAUGACAUGUGCGUCCCCUGUUAAUUAAUAAUUUACAUUAGUGUAUGACAUGUGCGUACCCUGUUAAAUAAACUGAUUUAAUUAAAAUCUAUUAACUUCGAGUCUAUGACAUAUCACUACUUGGGAAAAUCCUAGCAGUAGCGUGGGUAUUUUUCCUAUCAGUUGCGCCGGAUACCGCUCUACUGAUAAGGCACUACAGCUAACAUGUAGCAGUAAUGCGUGUCAUCCAACGCUACUGCUGUACAUGGCUAGCAGUAGCGAGCUUUAGUGCAAAGCGCUGCUGCUAAUAUCUGCAGCGCUUUUCAGCAUGAAGUGAUACUGGUAAGGGACCUCUACUACUAACUUUAUUCCCCUCGCUACUGCUAGUUUUAUUAGUUUCUGUUUUUUUCUGCAUAUUUCUUUUGUAUUUGAACAGGCUUUAUACAAUAAUAUUUAGCGUAUCAUACACAUACAAAUGUAAUCAUAGCAUAUACAUACAAAUAGUCUCGUCAAAUCAUGUCAUCAUCAUAAUCAUCAUCCAUCACAAAGUGGUCUCUCGUCAUCAUCUCUAAAAUAGCGAUACAAGUCUCGAUUACUUGCAACUACAUUGUCAUCCGUCUAAACAAUGAUAUACGCGAGAAGAGCUAUCACUAUGAGUGAGAGCGGAACUAUGCAGUACAUGAGUUUGUAUCCCUCUCUCGCAUUAGCGUGAACCUAAACUAACUACUAGUUGUCGCUCGGAAACCAGAAACCGGUACACCUGGGCCUGACACUCCGUCCACUCAUCUUAUACUCCUGGCGUAGCACUUCUGUGCCAUCGAUGAUCUAUGCACCUGCAUCGUCACAUGAGUCGAUGAUAUGCAACAUAUAUAGUUGAGCAAUAGAAACAGACAGACUUGGCAAAAAUAGAAGCAACAUAUCAUAAGCAUAAAUAACAAAGUUCAUCAUACCCAAAAUGCCCUAACUAGAGUGAUCUUCGCUAGUCGAGGAGGACGGUUUAAUUACAUCACAAAUAAUGUUUCAUCUUGCAUAACUCAAAGUGCCAUCAUACAGAAAGUAUGAACUAAACGGACACAUUGUCAUAUGUCGACAAUCACUCCAACAUGUCGUGCCAUCGAUCCAAGUCAAGGAGAUAGUCCCCGAGCUUAGUGAAAGGCUUCAGGUUGAGACGCUGAGCGGCAACGCGUGUUCGGACGUCUUCCCUCGACAUUUUUCCUUCUUCAUAGAACAUCCCUGUUUUUUCGAUGACCUCCCUCAUGAUGAUUUGGGCAAGUUCGCACUGGAAGUGAUAGAACUCAUCUUGAAGUCGAUGAUCCUCGAUAUCUCCUAAGUUCUUUGCCCAUUGCAGAAUAUGGGCAUCGCCGAAUCUAGGUGUCAUGCAAAGGUUCUGGUGAUCCCGUAUGUACUCCAUCAUGUGGUGUAGGACAUAGAAUCCAUCAUUAAGAGAAUCACUCAGUUGCUGGAUACAGCAGAAGCCGGUCUUAUGGCCGAAGGCGGGCCUGCCGUCCCUUUUCUUCUUGUCCUUGACCUCUCCACCCCGUGCACCGUAGUAAAACAUAGCACCGUCGAGAACAUACUUGAUGUGGGUGUAAUCCUUUUUUUUAAUGUUCUUCGAUGAGUCCAAGUAAAGAGCGUGGGAGUAUCGGGGGUAGAGGAUGAUGAGGAUGGUGCACCCGCCGCUGCGCAAAAUAAGUACACCUCAAAUUAAUUAGCCUCCACCGUGCAAAUGAAUGAUUGAAAUCGUAGGAAGGAUAUCCGCGUGGAUGACUUACAGGGGAUGAUAAGGCACAAGAAUCACCUCCUUGUCCUUAUUGGCACGCAUGAAAUUGACGAUGUAUUCCUCGCGUAUUCACGGUGCUUUGCGUGGACUCACAAGAAGACCUCGUGCAUGAAGUACCGAUCAGUGACACAGAUAUGAGGUAUUUGCUCAACCCCGAUGAGGUAGUUCAUGUGCAAGGCAUAAAGGUGGACGAAUGUAAAAUCCAGCUUCUUUAAGUGAAACAUGUCGAAGAUGUAAUCCAAUCGAAGGAAGAACUUGUUCGAGGGGAAUGUGUCGAUGUACGACAAUUGCAGCGACACGUUAACCACGGAGAGUGGGUAUGCUGGAUUUUUUGAGGCAAUGAGGCCUUUCUCUAUCAGCAACACAUCAUCAUGAAGUCUCCUUAUAUCGCCAAAUCAGGCCCCUAGCGCUGCUUUAGGUAGGAUUGGUUAACCGGGGAUACGCCAUAUUGCCGCACCGAGGAUAUCUAUACGGUCUUGAACCCGAGCCUGCUGAGGUGGCUGGAUCAUAGAAGCACCUUUGUUUCCUUUCCUCGGUGUCUUCCUUGGCUUCUUUGCUACCGGAAAGUCGUCUAUAAUAUGUUCAGCCUCUGGAGGCGGCAAUUCAGGCACCAACUCAUGCGCUCAAACCCUGAGUAGGCGCCAGUAUUGAGGUAUUGUUGAAUGUCAUCGUCGUCCUCAUCUAUGGCGAUGUCACUAGCGACAAAUCGAGCCUCUUCCUCACCCCGUCCGCUAUCACCCAGCACGACAGCCGACGCUAAUUGGGUAGGUGGGGUGUUGAUGUUCGUACCUAACUGCGUGCUCGUGUGUGUGCUCCCGGCCGCCUCCAGACAAAGCAGACUCUUUGACCACAACAGGACCCACCCAUUGCAACCACCAAGCCGCUGCGGGGUCUCGUCGUCAUCCCCUAGUAUCGGAGGAGCCAAAUUCUCGUGGCCCGGUUUGACACUGGCCACGAAAACUUUGAAGACAUACGGGGGGAUUGGUCGGCCAUGGAACAAUGGUUCCUUCGGCUUCAUUACCGUCACCUUCCCCACGUCCACCUUUUGGUCGCCGAUGUUGUACAAUAUGGUGCACGGGGUUACAUCGGCCUGCAAAGACACCGUGAGAUUAUACAUUUAUGGAAGAGGGCCGGUGUGACAGAUACCGUGAGGGCGUCGAGCUCAGCCAAAGACGAAGGACAGCUGAGCACGGCCGGUGUGGGAGCCGGUGUGGGAGCCGGUGCAGGUGCAGGUGCUGGUGCAUCGCUAGUCGUGCUACUCCCGAAGAAGUCAACAAUGGGAAAGUCCGCUGCAUUUUUUCUGGAUUUUGCAUGCUCCAAUUGAAAACGGCUGGAACCAAGACAAUAGACAUAUCUGCAACCACCUGUUUUGCGGCAGCUACCGUUAUCGUGACAGUCUCAGAUGAUUUCUUCUCUACUGCAAUCUCAACCUUCUUGUCGAUGUUUUCUUCAGUUAACCUCCAUCUUUCCUUUCUCUCCUCCGUGGUCUCACGGUAGCACUUCUUCCACGUGGCCCCGUCUCCGACACCGUGAACGCGUCCAUACGACGACCGAGUCUCCACUGGGAGUCCUUUCAAUAUGUUCAAUGCCCGGUUGAAUGGAGUGUCCCACUUGGGCCUCGCCAACGCCUCAGACGGCGAGUCUCUUUCGGUCGCAAUCUUGUGCUGCUCUCUCUACAAAAGGAACAAGGAUCAUUUACAAAUAUGACUAAACGUGCAGUCGAAUUGAUCAGAAACUAAAAUUACCAGCAGUCUCAUGAACUCCGUCGUGAUCGGGUCCGUCUUGAAAACCUUCUUGACCGAGUGCCAAUGGUGCCGUGCCCUGAGGACGUCAUGCUCCUACAGGACGGUGAAGUCCGCCAAGGGGUCUAGGAUGCCAGACUUUCGCGUUUCGUGUCCUCCUUGGCCCAUAUGGACCUCUUCCUGCUGUAACCACGGCUUCCGAGGUGGCGGUGCCCCAUGUUCCUUUGUUGAAACCCCUUCAUGUACUUUGACUUUGUUUUGGCAGUUUCAGCCUCGCAAGCCGCCUUGAAUAUUUCAAAGUGCUCUCCCGUGAUUGUCGGAUUAUCCUUUACAAUCUCGGAGUAGGGUUGAUACGUCUCCAAUGUAUCUAUUAUUUUUGAUUGCUCCAUGCUAUAUUAUCUACUGUUUUGGACAUUAUUGGGCUUUAUUAUCUACUUUUAUAUUAUAAUUUGGACUAACCUAUUAACCGGAGGCCCGAGCCCAGAAUUGCUGUUUUUUUGCCUGUCUUAGGGUUUCAAAGAAAAGGAAUAUCAAACGGAGUCCAAACGGAAUGAAACCUUCGGGAACGUGAUUUUCUCAACGAACAAGACCCAGGAGACUUUGACCCUACAUCAAGACACAAGGCGAAUCAUGUACGUAGCCACUAGUGAAACAUAUUAUCUUUAUUAUAUCUAUCAGAUCUCACUCUCGUAAGUGGCCGUGUUGGGAUUGACAACCCCUAUUCAUGUUGGUUGAGAGGAUUGAUUUGUUUUGUGCAAGUACAAAGGACUCGCGCGUAGCCUCCUAUUGGAUUAAUAGCUUGGUUCUCAAAAAGUGAGGGAAAUACUUACGCUACUUUGUUGCAUCAUCCCUUCCUCUUCGGGGAAAACCAACGCAGUGCUCAAGAGGUAGCAAGAAGGAUUUGCUGNNNNNNNNNNNNNNNNNNNNNNNNNNNNNNNNNNNNNNNNNNNNNNNNNNNNNNNNNNNNNNNNNNNNNNNNNNNNNNNNNNNNNNNNNNNNNNNNNNNNNNNNNNNNNNNNNNNNNNNNNNNNNNNNNNNNNNNNNNNNNNNNNNNNNNNNNNNNNNNNNNNNNNNNNNNNNNNNNNNNNNNNNNNNNNNNNNNNNNNNNNNNNNNNNNNNNNNNNNNNNNNNNNNNNNNNNNNNNNNNNNNNNNNNNNNNNNNNNNCCUCCACCCUCGUGGGCCCCCUGUUGCUCCACCGACGUACUCCUUCCUCCUAUAUAUACCUACGUACCCCCAAACGAUCAUAUACGGAGCCAAAACCCUAAUUCCACCGCCACAACUUUCUGUAUCCACGAGAUCCCAUCUUGGGGCCUGUUCCGGAGCUCCGCCGGAGGGGGCAUCAAUCACGGAGGGCUUCUACAUCAACACCAUAACCUCUCCGAUGAAGUGUGAGUAGUUCACCUCAAACCUACGGUUCCAUAGUUAUUAGCUAGAUGGCUUCUUCUCUCUUUUUGGAUCUAAAUACAAUGUUCUCCCCCUCUCUUGUGGAGAAUUAUUCGAUGUAAUCUUAUUUUUGCGGUGUGUUUAUUGAGACCGAUGAAUUGUGGGUUUAUGAUCAAGUCUCUCUAUGAAUAAUAUUUCAAUCUUCUCUGAAUUAUUUUAUGUAUGAUUGGUUAUCUUUGCAAGUCUCCUCGAAUUAUCAGUUUGGUUUGGCCCACUAGAUUGAUCUUUCUUGCAAUGGGAGAAGUGCUUAGCUUUGGGUUCAAUCUUGCGGUGUCCUUUCCCAGUGACAGUAGGGGCAGCAAGGCACGUAUUGUAUUGUUGCCAUCAUGGACAACAAAAUGGGGUUUUCAUCAUAUUGCAUCAGUCUAGCCCUCUACAUCAUGUUAUCUUGCUUAAGGCGUUAAUUUGUUUUUAACUUAAUACUCUAGAUGCAUGCUGGAUAGCGGUCGAUGAGUGGAGUAAUAGUAGUAGAUGCAGGCAAGAGCGGUCUACUUGUCUCGGACAUGAUGCCUAUAUACAUGAUGAUACCUAGAUAUUCUCAUAACUAUGCUCAAUUCUGUCAAUUGCUGAACAGUAAUUUGUUCACCCACCGUAGAAUACUUAUGCUCUCGAGGGAAGCCACUAGUGAAACCUAUGGCCCCGGGUCUAUCUUUAUCAUAUUAAUCUUCUACUACUUAGUUAUUUCCUUUGCUUUUUACUUUUCCUUUAUUUUACUUUGCAUCUUUAUCACCAAAAUACCAAUAAAAUUAUCUUUAUCAUAUCUAUCAAAUCUCACUCUGGUAAGUGGCCGUGUAGGGAUUGACAACCCCUAUUCGUGUUGGUUGCGAGGAUUUAUUUGUUUUGUGCAGGUACGAGGGACUCGCGCGUAGCCUCCUACUGGAUUGAUACCUUGGUUCUCAAAACCUGAGGGAAAUACUUACGCUACUUUGCUGCAUCAUCCCUUCCUGUUCGGGGAAAACCAACGCAGUGCUCAAGAGGUAGCAAGGGUUCCUUUUUGUCGACGAUCCGAUGUUUCAACCUUGUUUUCCAGGCGGCCAACGCGUCGCUAAACUUGGGCAUGGCGUGUUUGUUUAUCUUCUUCAUUGCCACGUCCUUAUCUGGAUCAUUAUUAUCCUUUUCAUUGCAGUCAGGGAACAAGAAUAUCUGGUGCAGCUUCUUUAGGAGGGAGGGCCUCAUAUUAUCUAUCUUCUGUAGUUUCCCAUCGUUGAUCGUGGCAGUUGUCCGUACGAUGCAACCUAUUUGAUUGCCGUAGCACGAUCGCGCUUCCUCGGGCGCUAUUGUCUCAAAAAUACCGUUGUCCAUCUCCGUGACCACCAGUCUAGUACUCAUGAGCUGGUUUGGGUGCCGUGGCCUCUUUGCUUUCGGUUCUAGACCAGCUCCGCUAGUCUCGGCGCCGGUCUCAGUCUCAUCACCGGUCUGCAUGUCGGUAUCAGUCCCCGAUGCGACAGCACAGUCGCUGCAACAUGGGUAAGGGAGACCACAUCAGUGCUGGGGUGGUCUGAAAAUUGGGACACACUUUCGCGCAUUGCGGGCCGCCUCUCAGACAGCUACUGGGGAGGCGGCGGAGUACCUGGGUGCGCGACGAAUCCCCGGGAACUCGGUGACCAACUUCCUUCCCAUGUAGCGCAUGGAGACGAUGGCGACCCCGCCGAAGAGCAGCUUAGUUGCGAGCUGCACAGCCUCGUCCACCUCCUAAGUUGGGACCUCCGCGCGAGCGUUGCGGGGCCGCCGCUCGGAUGGCUUCUGGAAGGCGCUUGUACAUGGGCACAGGGUGAAUCCCGGCAAGAGCUGGCCAUUGGUGCGCGCAAGUAGACGACGACGUCGCCGACGAAGAGCAGCCCGGCCAGCUCGCCUCACUCUCCUUUGAUUAGAAUUGAAAGAUUGGGAAGAAGCAGACUUGAGCCUGCAGGGAAAGGAUAAGGUGACGAUGCAGUCUCCACUCGUUCGGGGCGACACGCGUACUGAAUGUAUGAGAAACGCGACGUGGCAGGGACCCCAAGAUACUCCCUCCAUUUAUUUUUAGUCUGCAUAUAAAGUUUGGUCAAAGUCAAGAUUUGUAAAUUUUAACUAACUUUAUAAUAAAAAAAAUCAACAUUCACAAUAUGAAAUAAUUAUUACCAGAUGCGUCAUGAAAUGUAUUUCCAUACUAUAUAGGUUUGGUAAUGUAGAUGUUCAUAUUCUUUUAUAUAAAUGGGAAGUAGAGGCACUCUUCCAUAUAAUGAAGUUUAUAAUAUAUGUGCUUAUAUUAUACUAUAAUUGUUUGAAUAACUUAGCAUAUGUUCAGAUGUAUGAUAUCUGUAAUUUAAGCGCUUGAAUUUUACAUAUAAAUAUUUAUUAAUAAAUAUGUACCCCUAUAAUAGCUAGGCCGUGCAGUUGCACGGGUAGAUGACUAGUGAUUACAAUCUUGUUUGUGUGCAAGUCAAGCUUAUCUAGUUUACACGUAACAACUUGUAGAACAUUACAAAAUUUAUGCUUGCUAAUAACUUCUAGAACACUACAACACUUGACAUGUAAAAGGAAUUUGACGAGUCAUGGCCUACUAAAGAAAGUUACAUUACUAGUCUUAUAUCUAUCUUAAUAGACCACACAAGACUACAAAUUAAGUACCGUGACAGCCAUGAUUAUCUAGUUUAUGCGUAACAAUUUGCAGAAAAUUACAAACUUAGUUUUAGAAAAAUAGGCAAUCCAGAUUAGUGUUUGAGCUGUAAAGUGAAUAAGAUGAGUCAUGCGUGUUAUCACACCUUUUUGGUGGUGGAAUGAUAGUGCAAAACAAGGAACUUUAAUGAACAGUCCAAUAAUACACUUGUAAGUAGUGCCACCAAACAGAACAUACCAAAUGAUGAUUUUGAGAAGCAUCCAAGCACUUUCCACACAAACAAAUGCCAAUUGUGAAAGAGAUCAUUCCAUGGCAGCUAUAAAUAGCCCCGUAGCAUGACGAUCAUCCUUCCUCAUCCAUCAUUCUCAUAAGUAGAGCGCAUCAUUUAAGCCAAGCAAGCUGUGGUCAAUACAAAUCCACCAUGAAGACAUUUCUCAUCCUUGCCCUCCUUGCUAUCGUGGCGACCACCGCCACAACUGCAGUUAGAGUUCCAGUGCCACAAUUGCAGCCACAAAAUCCAUCUCAGCAACAGUCACAAGAGCAAGUUCCAUUGGUACAACAACAACAAUUUCUAGGGCAGCAACAACCAUUUCCACCACAACAACCAUAUCCACAGCCGCAACCAUUUCCAUCACAACAACCAUAUCUGCAGCUGCAACCAUUUCCGCAGCCGCAACUACCAUAUUCGCAGCCACAACCAUUUCGACCACAACAACCAUAUCCACAACCGCAACCACAAUAUUCGCAACCACAACAUCCAAUUUCACAGCAGCAGCAGCAGCAACAACAACAACAACAACAAGAACAACAAAUACUUCAACAAAUUUUGCAACAACAACUGAUUCCAUGCAUGGAUGUUGUAUUGCAGCAACACAACAUAGCGCAUGGAAGAUCACAAGUUUUGCAACAAAGUACUUACCAGCUGUUGCAAGAAUUGUGUUGUCAGCACCUAUGGCAGAUCCCUGAGCAGUCGCAGUGCCAGGCCAUCCACAAUGUUGUUCAUGCUAUUAUUCUGCGUCAACAACAAAAACAACAACAACAACCAUCGAGCCAGGUCUCCUUCCAACAGCCUCAGCAACAAUAUCCAUUAGGCCAGGGCUCCUUCCGGCCAUCUCAGCAAAACCCACAGGCCCAGGGCUCUGUCCAGCCUCAACAACUGCCCCAGUUCGAGGAAAUAAGGAACCUAGCGCUACAGACGCUACCUGCAAUGUGCAAUGUCUACAUCCCUCCAUAUUGCACCAUCGCGCCAUUUGGCAUCUUUGGUACUAACUAAGAAGAAAAUAACUCUAGUACUAGAUAUAUGAAACACCGUUUUCUCAGUCCAUGGUUUGGUCGUUGUAGCGGUGAAAAAAUAAAGUGACAUGCACUAUCAUGUAAGAACCCAAACUAUACUAGUUCAAACUUGGGAAUAAAAGACAAACACAGGUCUUGUCUACAUAUUUAUGCUGCAUCUAUUUAUAUAUUAAAAGUAAUAUAAGGUGAACCAGGAGCAAGGUAAAUAUGGUAGAAAAUUGCAC